rnacentral:lncRNA from 1 species
AUCAGCUAUAGCUCUGGAGUUUUUGCAGAUUUUCAAAUAAAACUCAGAGAUUUCUUGUAUGAUUCUCUCAUAUCUCUCUUUUGUGGUAUUUCUGGAUCCUUACCAAGGCAGUGAUGGUAUAUGCCUUCUCUCAAUAUAUAUUGUAUUUGUGGUAUAAAGCAUAGUGACAUUGCCUUCUCUCUCAUCCUACUCUAAUAAGGCUUUAAUAUCUGGAGCUCAUAGGUGGGAGAUAAUGUAUACAUACUUACAAGACAUUUAUUGUAUAGUCAAACCAUGGAUCCAAAGAAACAAAUCAAUAAGUCAAAUCAAGAUGUGCAUGUGUGGCGAAUGAAUGGUGUAUGGUGAUGAUGGUGAUAACAAUGGUGAAAGUCUAAUUCUACUUUUGCUCUUUUGAGGGGAUACAUACCUUUCUUGCUCUUUUGAAACAUUUUGUGAGGAGAAUGAGAUGCUCUUCUUUUUUUCUUUUCUCUCAGGUGGGUAUCUUCUACCCCUAAUUCUACUGUCGAACACUUGUCCAUUUUUACCUCUCGUCUCACUUUUUUUUCUUCCGAGGUUCCGAGCACUUGCCCCUUUUUAUUUCCUCGUAUCUUUUUUCUCUUCUUUUUUUAGAGCACUGAUCUCUUGUGAUAAUAUAGCAAGUGGUAGUAACAAGAUAACUUGAGCAUUUAUUUCACAAGGGAAAAACAGAAAUGUUUUUGGCUAUUCUCUCCCGGAUUAGGAGUAGAAUAUUUUUGGGUGAUUCUGGAGAUGGAAAUGAGUGGAUAUAUGUGGAUGGUACUUCCGGAGUAGAAGUAGCAUGUGUGAGUGAACGUGCAAGUGAAUCUUGAUUUAACCACAUGACAAGGUCCUAAGGGUCUACACAGCUUGACCACACUCAAUGCUCAUAAGCAGUAAAAAGUAAAUGUGUGGCUCAAAGUCUAGCAAGCAUGUAUGUAUGGCUGUGGUAGGAAUUUAAACUCUCAUCAUACAGGAACUCAUCAUGCAAUAUUUUAAAGAUUUUAAAAGAUAAAAUUCUCCAGAAUUCUAGCAUCUCUAGGAACAGAUAAACAGCAGCUCAACCUUCCCAUAUCAUAUCCGUUAACAACUUAGACUUCACAUCAAGUUUUCUUCCCACAAGUUUAGGUUUAGAGCCAGCUUUAAAUUAUAACAGUUAUGUCUAAACUUGAGAGAGAACUUCAAAAUUUUAAAAUUAGGCAGAGCAACUAUUCAUCAUAUCCAUGCUAGAGUUUUAUUAUUAAGAUUCAGAUUAGCAUAGCCACUUUAUUUAUUUAUUUAACAACCUAAGCAAAAGAUAUAUAUAUAUAAGCACAAAAAUCUUUAUUUGGUUUUUCAUAGUUAUGUAUAUCUAUAUUUUAAUAUAGUAUAAGUAUAAAGAUAGAUAGAAAUACUUAGCGAGAUAAAUGGCUGUGCUUUCCCCCAAGCUGAAUUUUGACGUAAUUUCUCCUGAUGUAGCUAGCAGGUGGUAGAGGUGUAUUUGAAAGUCGGCAGUAUCUUGACAGCGAUUAGAAUGUCCUCCGUCUACUAGUAUUCUUGAUUCUUGAAUUCUGUGGAGCUCAAAUAGACAAUAAAGCUUUGUGGAACUGAUUUAGUGUUAGCAUAAAUAUCUAGCCUUCAUCAUGUUGAGACUCCUUAAUAAAUGUUACUCUCUAUUUUUAUAUUUUCAUUUUAUAAAGCAGAACAAAUAUUUAUUUUAUUUUUAUGCCACCACAGUGAAUGUACUUAUGGGUUUCAUGCAACUCGUAUACUCACAUGGGGCUUACUGUUUUUUAACAUUUUUAUUUUCUUUUUAGGAUAGUAUGAACAUGAUUAACUAAGCAAACUAUUUAAAAUAAUUGAAAGGAAAAGAUAACUACCAAGUUUACCUCUUGGCAAGGCGCUCGGUGUUUUUAAGUCUUCCGAACGGGACUCUCCGUUUUCUCAAUUGUCCUGAGAUUCGUUGGGUGGCGUAGUCGGUACUUUCGGUGGCGCCUCUUCUUCAUGUAUGGUUAUCUUCUCUUUCCACACCUGAAUCAGUGCUACGGUCUCCUCAGGAUAGUUCUGUUUAAACUGUAUGUCUUCUGACCUUACUACUUCUCCUUCAUAGUCUGCCCAUCCGUCUUUGAUGAUUUGCCUGCUCUGGUUGCGGUUGCGUCGUUUUCUGACCUGCUUAGAGUCUUCAACGAUAUAGUUAGGGUCAAUAAAAUAGCGGCGUACCUUCUCUGAGGGGAAGUGCAUAUGGACUUCUCCGGUUCCAAUGUAGAUGAUUGCUUUAACGGUGCUGAGGAACGGUCUUCCAAGGAUAAUGGAUGGAUCGUAUUCGUCUUCCCCUAUGUCAAUAACCUGAAAGUCUGUGUAGACAAAAUGAUCGUCUAUUUUGAGAGGGACAUCCGUUACUAUACCUUUAACCUCUUGAAAUGUCUGAUCUUCCAUCUGGAGCUGAAUGUAUGUUGGUUUUAGGGGCAUGGUUCCGAACAAGAGCCGAUAGGUGACUGCGGCCAUUAUGUUGACGCCCGAUUCGGUGUCGCAAGUCGUCUUGUAGAAGUUGUACCCAUUUAUGGAGCAGUAGAUGCUUGUCAUUCUUGGGUCGUCCUUCUUGGUCAGAAAUGGUGACAUAAGUCGAUGAUCUUGACCUCCUUGUACUGCAGUGACCAUCUUAGCUGACUCGGUCCACACUUGCUUGUUCCUGUUCCUCCUGUUGGUCCUCUUCCUUGAUUCACGUCUGGAUUGAUCUGGGAUUUGUGUAGUCUUGUUCUUGAAGGAAAAUGUCUCCUUCUUCCCUUUGAUGUAGAAACUGAUCUUGGCAGCACUAGCGUAGAUGACAGCUCCCGAGGUGUUUAAGAAUGGACUCCCUAAGAUGAUGGGUGCCCUCUUAUCAUUAUCGGUCUCUAUUACCACGAAGUCUGCUGGGGCGUAUAAGGUACUAACUCGGACACAAAGGUUCUUCAAUAUUCCUUUUGGAAAACUUAUUACCUGAUCUGCAAACUGCAAACACAUGGUUGUUUCUAAUAAAGGAUAUGUAAAGAAUUUUUCAUAGAGUACCUUGGGCAUAAUGUUGACGCUGGAGCCAAAGUCGCAGAGUGCUUCUAGGAAGUCCACCAUGCCGAUGGAGAUCGGGAUGACGAGGCGUCCUGGAUCGCCUCUCUUGACCGGCAGAAGGUCAGUAGUAACUUCAAUGACGGGGUUACUCCAGUAGUUACCUGCAUCAAACAUGUCUACAAGAUUUGCAGAUUCUAAUCCUUCCGGUUGUGAUGGUAUACCGGGGUUAGUAGCAGGAACAGCAGCAACUAUUUGAUUUAACUGAGAUUCAAUCAUCUUAUUAAAGCUAAUUUGAUUCAUGAUGGCAGUAGAGAAAUUAUCCAUUCUAUUAUUUAUAUUUUCUAGCAUUUUAUCAUUAGAUGCCAAUUUCUUAGAUAGGUUAUCCAUUAGCUUUCCUUGAUUAGAUACUAACUCUCUCAGAGGUGGAAAAUUAUUAGUAUUGUUGUAAGAAUUGUUACCUUGAUAAUUACCUGAGUAGUUAGGCCACUGUUGAUUCCAACCUUGAUUUUAUUGAGGACGGUAGUAGUAGUAGUAGUAGUAGUUGUUGUUGUUGAUGUAGUUCACAACCUCAAGCAUCUCAGGGCAGUGAUUGUCUGAGUGUCCAGUAUCUCCACACUCCUCACAAGUAAUGUGAGAGUCGUAGAUGUGCAUGACUUCUUUCUUAUCUCUAGCUCUAUCAUCGAGCUUCUUCAUGAGCAGGUCUAGCUUAGCAGACAGCAUGUCUACCUCCUUGAGCUGAUGCAUACCUCUACCUUUCUUGCGUGUCUGGGUCCUUUCUUCAUUCCAGCUUUGAUUGGAUGCCAUCUUCUCCACAAGGGCUAUGGAUUGUGGUAUGGUAAGUGAUAGGAAUGCUCCUCCAGCUGCAGCAUCCAUGGUCUCUCAGGCACUGUUGCCGAGGCCAUGAUAAAAUGUCUGCAUUAGUAGCCAACUCUCCAUUCCAUGACGGGGAUAUUCUAGGAUGUAGUCUUGGAAGCGCUCCCAUGCUUCUGGAGCAGAUACAUCAUGUUGUUGCUGAAAACUUGUAAUCUUCCCACGGAGAGCAUUGGUCUUGCCCAUGGGAAAGAACUUAGCCAGAAAGUUUGUUGAGCAGACUGCCCACAUAGUAUUCUUCUCCUUCGUAGCGUAAAACCACUGCUUCGCUCUUCCUAAUAGUGAGAAUGGGAAGAGGCGAAGUAGUAGAGCAUCUCUAGGGACUCCUGAUAUGGUGAAUGUGUUGCAAAUCUCUAGGAAGUGUUGGAGAUGAGCACUAGCAUCUUCGUGUGCCUUCCCACAGAACUGGUUGGAUUGCACCAUGUUGAUAAGUCCAGGCUUGAGCUCAAAGUUGCCAUCAAUCUCUACAGCAGGUCCAGUGCGGAUGUUAUCCAUAGUGGGAGCUGAGAACUCGUGGAUUGAGUUGUUUGCCAUGGCUUCGAACUCUGAAGACAAGUUCCGGUGAUGUUCUUGAUUAGUUGAAGCUUCUUGCUGAAGUGUUGAUGAUCUCUUCUUGAGCUUGGCUCUUGUUUUUUUGAAUAAUGCUUCGGGAUUGUCAACAAAAUUUCCUGGAAGAUGUCUUCUAUUCAUACAUUCCCCUGCAUAAGAUAAAAUAGAAAAAUAUCGAGGUAAAUCUGUAUGAGAGAAUUGAUAAGCUCAAUCAUAUUAUUGAUGCGAAUGAUAACUCAAAAUCCUAUAUCCAUUCAUGAUUAGUAAUCAACCUUCCCCGGCAACGGCGCCAAAAAUGCUUGUUGGGUAUUCUUAACAUUACUACCAAAAGUAGACUUAGUUUUCUAAUUCUGAUAACGGUGCCAAAAAUGUCAAACCUAUCCCUCAUACCACUUAAGCCAAGUUGUCAUCCCCAGCAUGACAUGAGAGACGCGGUAUUGAAAUAUGCAAUUGCUCUUCUAAAUAAAUAAUGAAUGGGAUUUGCAAGCGCACAGAUUAAUACCGAUGUAGCAUUUUUACUGGGAAGUAUUCCAGGUAUCGUUAUUUAUAUUUUUACCACUGGGAAGGGAUUAGUAACCAUCAAUAUUGAUUAUAGAAUGGAAUAUGAGAUUGAGUAUCUAUCAUUGCAUGUAUAAUUGAGAACAUUUAUCUAACUCUUUCAUACAGGGAUAAGUGUCACAUAAAGGAUAUAUAAAGUAAUGAAUAGUGACAAAGAUAAUUAAUCUGAUCAGCAUACUUAGCCACAUAAUAAAUAUGAUAAGCACCUCAAUUAGAUAUUCUAAAAAGUCAUUAGCAUGGUAUUAGAACAAACUACAAGAAUAUUUCCUAAGUUAUUCUCAACUAUACAUUCUAGCAUAUCAUAGUUAGUGCAAGUAUACUUAGCAAUCAUUGUGAGACAAGACUACGCCCAUGUAUAGUGAUAUUAGCAAGGUAAAUGAGAAAUAUAGCAAUCACUCCCCUAUAAUAAUAUUGCUCUGCCAGCCGAAUACACGAGAGGGGGACUAUAUAAGAAUCAAUGAAGCUGUCACUAUCACAAACUACCCCACGAUCUGGCAUAUUGGGUACAAUCGUAGAUAAAUACGGUAUAAGCACCACGCCUACAAAAUAUCAAUCAUUUACCCAUGGAUCCGAUGGAUAAACGCUAUACGAUCCUAAACAUGUAUAUAGAUCCAAUCUAACUAAGCCAAGUAUAUAACUAUGAUAAACUAAGAACAAUAUAAUCUUGAAUAUAAACAAGUAGAGCGAAGUCAUAAGCAAUAUAUUGAAGUAGAACAAAGUCAUAUUCAUAAUAUUGAAGAACAAAGAUGAACAAUUAGAAGAACAAUUAGAGAAUUACCAAGAAUCCUCUUGACAGAUCCGGAAACCAAUCGAAGAUUGACUCCUUCUAGUUCUAAUCCUAUGUACCUAUGCUAAUCUAGAUGUCUAAUUGAUGUGGUGGCUCUAGGCUUGAUCAGAGGCUUCUUCUCCCUUGAGGAAUAAUGAAUUAGGGUUGAGAGGCUCUCUCCUCUAGGGGCCAGGGGGGCUGGUAUUAUAGUCCCUUCAAGUGAAUAUGGGCCGUUGGAUCAAACCGACAUUGAUUGAACGGUUAUCCUUGAUCCUUUGGACUCCAGGAGGGGGCGGGCGCCCAGGGCCUGGCUCCGUUCGGCCUCCGCUUCCUUCCCGUGGCUUCUGGAGUCUUCUAGAUGUAAGAUAAUUGCGCGGCACGUUAAUAUCUCUAUGUAAUCCCGACGUGUGGGCCUUUCUUCCGUAUUUCCUGAUAACCCCCUGCAGAAAUAGACAAACACCAAAACUCGUGGAAUUCUGUCAGAUAAAACCCUAUGUCUGGAUGUUGAUUUCAUUUGGAUCCUUUUCUUUGUUUAUUUGUUAAUUAAAUUUGAUACUUAAGGACCGUCAAUAGUAUGCCAACACCCGACAUUUCUGGUGCCAUUGCUAAGGAUGGAUCUAUGGUCUAUUUUUAGUAGUGACGCUACGAAAUGCCAACAAGCAUUUCUGGCGCCGUUGCCGGGGAAGGCAAAAAUCAUACUGGCAUAAACAUUGAUUGCAUAAUAAGCAUUGGUAGCCAUAGAUUAAGCACGAUAACUUUACUAUUUUCUUCCUCUUUUUAUUGGAAUGAAAACAGGAUAGUGUAUGAGCGGUUUCAACUUGCCGACAAACUUCCACAGUGAUCCAGAAACACUCCUAAGCAAGAGAAGGGUUCGUACCAUCUCUUCUUCUGCUACGCAACCAGCGAGCGAAUCAACCGUUCAAGCACCAACCGCACCAAUCACUAUAGCCAAGACACUCCGUGACUACUCCACUCCUGUUGUUGCCAACGUGCCGACUGGGCCCGCUGUUAAUAUGGGGAAUGGAAGCUUCGAGAUCCGCACUGGCCUCACCUCUAUGGUGUAGGCGAGAAAAUUCUGUGGCCUGCCAAGCGAGGAUGCCAACGCCCACCUGCAGAACUUCCUUGAGUAGUGCGACACCGUCGUCAUCAAGGACGUCACGCGGAACAGCAUGAGGCUCCGUCUGUUUCCCUUUUCCCUCGCCGGAAAGGUGAAACAAUGGUUUUAUCAGAACAAGGAAGCUGUUGACACAUGGGAAAAGUGCUCCGCGGCAUUCCUCGCCAAAUUCUUCCGCAUGAGCAGGACCAGCGCUCUGAGGGGGAAGAUCUCUAACUUCCAGCAGUCUUCACUUGAGUCCAUACCCGAAGCAUGGGAGAGGCUCCAGGAGUACAUCUGGGCAUGUCCUCAUCAUGGAAUGGAAGACUGGCUUGUGCUCCAGAACUUCUACAAAGGCCUCAUGACCAUGUCAAAGGGGCACGUAGAUGCCACAGCUGGAGGUGCAUUCCUUUCUCUCACCAUUAAUGAAGCUACUGCCCUCAUCGAGAAGAUGGUGGCAAAUCAAAGCUGGGGAGAAGGAAGGAAAACACAAAAAGGCUCGCAAUUUGCGAAGGAGGCAGAUGUGCUUGCCGCAAAAAUAGACUUGCUGCUGCAAAGGAUGGACGGACAAGUUGCAAAUCCCAACAUGGGCACUGUCCAAGCAGUGAACUCACACACAUCGUGUGAAGUUUGUGGUGAUAAUGGCCAUUCGGGGAACAAUUGCCUCGAAACCCAAGAAGAAGCAGCAUAUGUCAACAAUGGGUUUCGGCCACCACAGCAAGGUAACAACGGGUGGAACAAUCAGCACCACCCGCAGGGUAAUUUCUUCAAUCAGCCUUCCUUGAAACAUCUAGUCAUAGGGCAAGCUAAAAUCAACGAGAAUCUGACCAAGAAGCUGUCCUACAAUGACAAGAUCAUUGAGAACAUCAAUGCCAAGCUUGAAACUCUUUGAUCAUCUGUCAAAAGUCAGACGAGUUUCAACAAGAUGAUGGAAACAGAGAUAGCAUAGAUAGCUGCAUCAAUUCUAGUCACUGACACAAAGAGGAUCCCAGGACAACCGGAAACCUCUACUAAGUUCGUCCAUGCAGCCACAGAAGAAUGAAGGAAGGAAAGUCUUGCCAACGGACUAUAAAUGUUGAGCCCUUGCCGAAGGCAUUUGGUAGUUAUCUAAAAAACUAUAUAUAAUAAAAAUAAAUUUUGUGCUAUUUGUGUCCCAAUAAAGAUAUCUGAAGGGGGGCCACGACAUCAAGCAAGCUUGGGGGAGGUGUCCCCACUCAGGUAUUAUGUAUUUUUAAAUUCUUUAAAUUUCGUUUUAAUUUCCCUUUUUAUAGAAAGUUUUUAUUUUUAGUUUCCAAAAGUUUCCCUUUCUAUAGUUUUACUUUUAGUUAAAAAUAAAGUUUCUCUGAAAAUCUUAUAAAAUUUAUUUUUUUGGUAGUAUAGAUUUUUCCAUUUCUAAAUCUUAUUUUUAUAUAAUUUUUGAAAACGAAAAAUAUUUUGAAUAAAUUUGUGGAAAAUCAAAAUCUGGAGCAAGAUUUCGAACCAAGUCUGAUCGUAACCAGAGAGACGUUUAGGGAGACCGUUGGAGCCAGCAGCCAAAAGGUCGGGCAGAGACGGGCCCACCACUGGUGCGGGCACACCAGGGUGCGGCCGCACCCUGCCCAAGGCCUGCUGGCCUCGGCCUUUGGGCAAUGACUAGUAGCCGUUGUGGGGGGUGCUCCCCCGCCUGCGAUCAACUCUUUAAAUAGAGAGGAUCCCGGGUGGAGCACAUCACCCCUCUCACACACAAUUUUUUACUCUUUCCUUCUUCACUCUCUUGCACCACUUUGCUUCAUAGCCUACUCCACAAACUUAGUGCAAGAAAAUUCUAUCAAAAACCUCUUGCACACUUCCCUCUCCAAGCAAAAACACCAUACACUUGUGCUAGCUCGUCCAAUAUGAAUAGAAUUUUCGGGCUUAGAAGGAGCCGCCGCCAACGCGGGGAAGAUCCACCAACCCCUGCAAGGAACGAGCAGCCGGCACAUGGAGGAGAGGAGGAGGAGCCACACGGCCACACCAUUGACGAGGCCGACGCCCCCUUCAUUGACUUGGAGAGCGAGCGGGAGAUGCAGGCAUACAACCUCAUGAAGGAACGCGAGUUCCGCCAUUCGCCGGCAUUCGACCCCGCAUUCUUGCACCAAAUAGGUAUGGAUGUUGAGUUUGAUACUAUUUUCGAGCAUCUUGGUUGGAGUAGAGUUGCCCCUGUUCAUGAGCUUGGGUCACGUAUUUUGAUGAUCCAAAUUUUGGGCACUCUACAAAUUGUCGAUUAUGGUAUUACCUUCCGUUGCUUUGGAAGAGAUUUCGGUAUUUAUUGGAAGGAUCUUGCCAACCGUUUGGGUUUCCACGAGCGGUGCUCCAUUGACUUAGGUUUCUCCCUCGGGGGUUACCAACGUCAUGCUUUUUGGCAUUUGAUCUCGGGGCAACACGUCGUUGGAAAGUUUCAGGGGCAUUCUGCCAACAUCCAUCACCCCACUCUGAGGCUUCUCCAUAGGUGGAUCACUAGUUUGUCCUUAUCAAGAGAUGAUACGCAUCUUACUUACGACACAGAGUUGAAGUUGCUUUAUGCUGCGCUCAAAAAGAUUAAGGUUGCACCUGUUGUUGAGCUUGUUAAUCAUUGGUUGCAUUCCAUUAAGACUUCAACUGCUAUCAUGUGCACAUCUUUUAUUACUCGCCUUGCUGCAAGUGUUGAUCCCCAUGCUGCUAAUACCAUUAUUUACAUCGCUACUCCUCGCAUCAUGAUUAAUGAAUCAUAUCUUUCGCAUGCACAUAUGAUUAAACACGAUGAAAUAGGUAAAAAGAUUUUAUAUUAUUUUCUGGGAUAUACAAACAAGAUCCAGUUACCUAACCCGGAUCUCGCUUUGUAUAAUUCCCCAUCACUCACCUUCACCCUCAUUGAGAGAGAAGGAGGACACAUGAGCUUUGUUUCUCGUAGGAACUCACGGAGGAGGGAACAAGAAGAGCAGGCAGAACAAGCAGCAAGGGCAGCACAGGCAGCACAACCAGCACCAUCCGCACAGCCAGCACAGCACACUCCACCACCAGCAAUGCCAGGGAUAGGAUGGACCCCUGCUAUACCUACACCCGGAUUUACCCCUGGGUACGGAUAUGGUAUGGGAUACGUUCCUCACCCCUACGAGGCUAGAGGUUUGUUGGGUAUUUUAAACGCAAACAGAAAAAUCCGCAAGCGCACGGAUACCGAUGUAGCUUUCACCCGGGAGUAUUCCAGAGUAAUGAUUUUCCACAGGGAACGUGAGUGUACUAAUUAAGAUUCAAGAUCGCCCAAGGAUAACUAUAUAAUUAUUUUUGGUGGGAAGAGAGGAAGUUUCCUGAGAGUACUCUAGUUGACCUACGAAUCAAGAAUUACUUCAAAGAUUAUUUAUUUCGGGACAUCAGAACACUAACCACAGAAAGAGAUGAGAAGUGGGCUAGGAAGCUCUGACUACGGUCCUACAAACACCGAUCCGAACGAGGUGGAAUACGUUGACCGUUAGGGCUGUCACUACCCUAGGGUUACCACAACAAUCCAUAGGAUUGGGUGCAAUUCUAGGUAAUUGCAAGACUAAACACCACGUCUAAUCUAUUAAUUACUACUCUAGCGUUUCAAAGACUAGAGCACUUGAUGCAAGCGAGAAUCCAAUAAAUAACUUGAAUGUAAAUAAAAGUAAUUAAAGAACUCAGAAAUUAUGAAUUGAAGAACUUGGAGAACGAUGAAGAACGAAGCAGUUGCUGCAAAAGUACAAUGUUGGGGAAGAUCCGACAGAUCCGGCUCCUCCUCCGCUCUCCUCUUCUCUCUCUCCCUGUUUUCUAGAUUACAACUAGAACUAACUAGAACUAGAACUAGAUGAACUAGAACUAGAACUAGAUGAACUAGAUGGAUCCUCUCUACUUGGAUGAAUAAUUGAAACCCUAGCUUUGAUUCUGUAGAAGAGGUAUGUCCUCUAGUGGCCAGGGGGCCUGCUUAUAUAGCCCCUCCAAAUGAACGUGGGCCGUCGGAUGAAACCGACCUUAAUCGCACGGUUUUCCUUGAUCCUCAAAGGAGGUGGAGCACAAUCCGCGAGACCUGCCCUCAUUGGUCACCAGGGCAGGGCGAGCGCCCAAGGGGGGAGGUCGGGCGCCCUGCCCCUGGGCCCGCUCGGCCUCCCGUUUGUUUCCAUGGCUUCUGGAGUUUUCUAGAUGAUAGAAAAUUAGCGCACACAUUAAUAUCUCUAUGUAAACCCGACGUGUGGGCCUUUCCUCCAUAUUUCCUGAUGACCCCCUGCAAAAAUAGACAAGCACCAAAACUCGUGGAAUUCUGUCAGAUGAAACCAUAAUUUUGGAUGUUGGUUGCAUAUAGGUCCUUUUCCAUGAUUAGUUGACGGUUAAAUGUGAGCAUUAAGGACCGUCAACAAGCUCCCCCAAGCUUAACCUUUGCUCAUCCCUGAGCAAAGCUUAAUCAGCAAUAAAAUAGGGGUCACUUUUAUGCCUUUUACUACAGGGUUUUUAAGUUAUCACUAAGGUCUUAAGUGAUUGAAAAACAAAACGAUCAAGUCAAGCACUAUGUCUCAAGUUCUUCUGUCUUACCUUUGUUCUGGAGUCUUUUUUGUAAGUUUCCAAAAUAAAACUGAGGCAUUUGCCUUCUUCUCGAAAGAUAUAUAAGGAGAGCUUUAAAAGUUUUAGCAUACUUACUUUGCAUUUUGCUAUGUCAAUGCUCGGAGCAAGGGAGAGGAAUGUCAUACUCCAAGAUCAAGACCUUUGACCUUUUUGAAAAGUUUGUCAUCUCUUACUGGCAUAUUGCUUAUUAGAGGGACCAUGGGCUAUCAUUUUUUCUUUCUUUUUUCAGUCUCUCUCUUUUUUUCUUUUCUUUUCAAGUGGGCACAAAGUACCCCUAAUUCUACUGUCGGACACGUGUCCAUUUUUCCACUCAGGUGGGUAUCUUUGUAACCCUAAUUCUACUUUGGACACUUGUCCAUUUUUACCUCUCGUCUCACUCUUUUUUUUGAACCAAAUUUUUGCAUAGUCCCAUGCCUCUAACGCAAUAAUACUUCGGAAGAGUGAAUCUUUUAUAUUUUUAAAACAAAAAGAUCUUGAUCUUUGGAGCAUGAUAAUUCUCUCAACCAAAACUACAAAAAUUAACAAUGGCUUGAACAAAGCAAGUGCUCACAGUUUUAAUAUUUAUAUCUUAUAAGACUCUAGGUAUUAUGUCAAACAGGAUCUCAUUUUUUUGAAUUUUUAGAUUUUCAAAAGAUAAAAUCUCCAGAACUUUAGCGAAACUUGGAACAAGUUAAAUAGUAGCUCAGACCUUCUCAUAUCAUGUUUGUCAAUUACCUAGACUUGGAUCAAACUUUAUUUUUAUUUUAUUUAAAACUUAGGAUUAAACAAAACUAUUGUAUAUUACUCAAAAGAAAAACUUUGUUUGGUUUCAUGGUUAUGCAUCUUUUAUUUAUUUAUUUCCGAAUACUAGUAAAUAAAACCAAGAAAGAAAAGUAAUACUUAUCUAGAUACACGUGGGGGUGCCUCCCCCAAGCUGGAUGUUGACAUAGUCGUUCACUCUUGUGGCCUACAUGUUCGGUCUCACUCUUCUUAAGCCUCAAAAUCCUGCACAACCCAAAUAGACAACAAAAGUCGUAGAGUAUGUUAAGGGUUAGGUAAUUGUCUAGAGCUUAUGAGAGCUUAAUGUGAGAAUUCUAUGAACUCAAUCACAUAAAGUUCCUCUACCAGGUUGUUUUGUGGCUCGAGAUAGAUUUUCAAGCGUUGACCAUUUACCAUAAAAGUGUUACUUAUGUCGUCUUGGAUGGUAAUGGCUCCAUGAGUUGAAGUGUCAACAACCUUGAAUGGUCCAUCCCACUUACUUCGUAGCUUACAAUGCCCAAAGAGCUUAACUCUUGAAUUGAAUAGUAGAACCUUAUCUCUAGGCUUAAACUCUUUGUGCUUGAUUCUCUUAUCAUGCCAUCGUUUUGUUCUCUCUUUAUAGAUCCUUGAAUUGUGGUAGGCUUUCUCUCUCCAUUCUUCUAGCUCAGAUAGUUGCAUCAGACGAUUCUCGCUAGCGAGGUGGAGAUCCAUGUUCCAUUUCUUGAGUGCCCAAUGAGCCUGAAACUCUACUUCCAUAGGCAAAUGACAAGUUUUUCCAUAUACAAGUUGAUAAGGCGACAUGCCUAUGGGUGUUUGAAUGCAGUUCUAUAUGCCCAAAGUGCAUCAGGAAGUUUGUCCUUCCACCCCUUACCCAUCUCAUCUACGGUCUUUUGUAAAAUAUUUUUGAUUUGUUUGUUAGAUGUUUCGGCUUGACCGCUAGUCUGAGGAUGGUAUGGUGUUGCGACGUUGUGUCGAACUCCAUGAUCGGCUAGGUACUUCUGGAAGAUUUUGUCGAUGAAGUGGGAAACUCCAUCGCUUAUAACUAUCUGGGGUAUACCAAAGCGAGGAAAGAUUACUUCAUGGAACAUUCUCUUGGCAUGUUUUGAAUCAGCUGAUCGACAAGGUAGGGCUUCUACCCAUUUGGACACGUAGUCCACAGCUACUAAGAUAUACUCGCAAUUCCCGGACAUAGGGAAUGGCCCCAUGAAAUCAAUGCCCCAUACAUCGAAAAGUUCUACUUGAAGAUUAUUUGUGAGAGGCAUUUCAUUUCUUGAGUUGAUAUUCCCAUGUUUUUUACAUCGGUGGCAUCUCCUGACAAAGUCCUUUGUAUCUUCAUACAUCGUUGGCCAAAAAAAACCACUUUGCCAAAUUUUAGCAUGUGUCCGGAAUGCUCCAUAGUGUCCUCCAUAUGGCGAGGCAUGGCAUCUUUCCAUAAUUUGAGUAGCCUCGGCCAUAGGAACACACCUUCUCAAGAGUCCAUCAGUGCAGACUCGGAAAAGAUAUGGCUCAUCCCAAAGGUGGAAACGACUAUCGUGAAGCAACUUCCUUUUGUUUGUACCAGGUGGGACAUAGCCUUUUACUAUAAAGUUUAUGAUGUCUGGUACCAUGGAUCUGCAUGUGUUAUCUUAAGCAGGGUGUCAUCCCUUGGGUAGUCAUUUAUGGGAAGCUCAUCAUGUGUUUCCUUAUAUUGAAGCCUAGACAAGUGGUCGGCUACGGAAUUCUCUACUCCCUUCCAAUCUCAGAUUUCUAUGUCAAAGUCUUGGAGUAGAAGAAUCCAUCGAAUUAGAUGAGGCUUAGCAUCUUUCUUAGUGAGGAGGUACUUGAGAGCAGCAUGGUCUGAAUAGAUGAUUAUCUUUGCCCCCACUAAGUAAGAUCUAAACUUGUCUAUAGCAAAGACAACAGCCAAAGGCUCUUUUUUAGUUGUAGUGUAAUUGAGCUGUGGUCCAGACAAGGUUUUGUUAGCGUAGGAUAUGGCAUAAUGCUUUUUAUCCUUGGUUUGUCCUAAAACGGCACCAACCGCAAAAUCGCUAGCAUCACACAUGAUCUCAAAAGGAAGAUUUCAAUCAGGUGGUUGGAUAAUCGGGGCUGAGAUGAGUGCUUUCUUAAGAGUUUGAAAAGAUUCAUUACACUCGUCACUAAAGAUGAAAGGUGCAUCAUUAGCUAGGAGACUAGUUAGGGGUCUAGCAAUUUGAGAGAAGUUCUUGAUAAAGCGUCUAUAGAACCCUGCAUGUCCCAAAAAGCUACGGAUUCCUUUCACAUUCGUGGGAGGUGGAAGUUUUUCAAUAACUUCAAUCUUUGCUUUGUCCACCUCUAUACCACAUUCGGACACUUUAUGUCCUAGCACUAUUCCUUCCUGAACCAUAAAAUGGGAUUUAUCCCAGUUUAGGAUUAAGUGCUUUUCUUCACAUCGCUGCAAGACUCUAUCUAAAUUCUCCAAACAAUGAUCGAUGGUUUUGCCAUACAUGGUAAAAUCAACCAUGAAAACCUCCAUGAUCUUCUCAAUCAUGUCCGAGAAAAUAGACAUCAUGCACCGUUGGAAAGAAGCUGGAGCAUUGCACAAUCCGAACGACAUUCGUCGGUAUGCAUAAGUUCCAUACGGGCAUGUAAAGCUAGUCUUUUCUUGGACAUAUGGGUGGACUGGGUGGAUUGGGAUUUGGUGAUAUCUGGAAUAACCAUCAAGGAAACAGAAGAAAGAGUGAUUUGCAAGCUCUUCCAACAUUUCAUCAAUGAAGGGUAACGUAAAGUGAUCUUUGUUUGUAGCCUUGUUGAGUUUUCGAUAGUCAAUACACAUACGCCACCCAGUGACAAUUUGUUGAGGGAUGAGUUUAUUCUUCUCAUUCCUAAUGACCGUCAUUCCUCCUUUCUUUGGCACUACUUGGAUAGGGCUAACCCACUCACUAUGUGGCACAGGAUAAAUAAUCCCAGCAUGAUAGAGUUUGAUGACCUCUUUCUUAACAACCUCUCACAUAGCAUUGUUAAGUCUCCGUUGUGGUUCCCUUGAAGGUGUAAAAUUGGGAUCAAUAGGGAUACGAUGAGUGCAGAGAAUGGGACUAAUGCCCGUGAGAUCUUGGAGAGAGUAGCCAAAUGCUGAUCUAUGCCUUUCAAGAACAGUGACAAGUUGUUGUGUUUCAUAAUCGAAAAGCUUGUCACUGAUAAAUACUGGAGUUUUUGGGUUGUUGUGCAAAAAGACAUAUCUAAGGCCAAAAGGAAGAGGUUUUAACUCUAUCGAAGGAGGUGAAGGUUGUUCAUUUUUGUCUAGCUCAACGGGUUCUACCAACUCUUCUUCUUCUUGAACAAAGUGUUCAUGAUUAAAGAAUGGUUGCGCCAUCUCCUCUUGAGUUAGCAUUAAGAUCUCCUCAAUAGGAUCUGGUUCAAGUUUGGGUUCCACUAUCAUGUUAAUUGAUCUAGCAAGAGGAAUAACAAUAGUGGAAUUCCCAACCUUGAAGUCUAAGUGACCUCGUUGUGGUUGUUCUUGUAGGAGUUUCAUGAUUGGUCUGCCAAUCAAGACAAAAAUCUCCGAUAUGUCAAAAAUGUGAAAAUCUAGACAUAUUCCAGAGUCCUUGAUUCUAACAAGAACAGCCCUUAAUACCCCAUGGCUUUCUAGAAUUAAUCCAGAUGGACUUUGUAAAAGUUUUUGAGAUGGAGUUAUGGACUCGUUGGGAUAAAGAGUGUCAACUAACUCCUUGGAAAUAACAUUUAUCCCAACAUAUGGAUUGUAGUGGCCCUUCAUAGCGGACCCUCUAAUCUGGCAUAGAAGAAUGGUUGAAGAAGUGAAGAUCCGAACUACCUAAAGAGACAGCUCUGCUUCUGUUAGCCAUUCAUAACUCAGAAUAGCCGAAAGGCUUUUGAUGUGUUAUAUGUCAACAGAUUCUACUCUUAGAAUGGAUUGAGUGGUCCCUGCUAGAGGACGUGUUUGGAUAGGAAAAUUAGAGGUGUUUCCAUAAUCUUCAAAAAGAUCUUCCUCGAAUUCAAAGGGAUGCUCUAAAGAUGGUGGUGUUGACGGUCCUUAAGUACUAAAAUUCAUAAUCAAAUAAACAUGGAAAAGGAUCAAUAUGAAACAAACAUCUAGAAUUAGGGUUUUAUCUGACAGAAUUCCACGAGCUUUGGUGUUUAUCUAUUUCUGUAGGGGGUUAUUAGGAAUUAUGGAGAGAAGGCCCACAUGUCAUGUUUACAACGAGAUAAUUACGUACCGCGCAAUUUUCCUCAAUCUAGAAGGGUCCAGAAGCCACGGGAACGAACGAGAAGGGAAUCGGGCUCGGGGGCAGGGCGCCCGCCCACCCCCCUUGGGCGCCCGCCCUAGCCAGGAGUUGGAUCAGGACUCUGCUUCGGGACUACGCUCCACCGACCUAAAGGAUCAAUCUAAACCAUACAAUCUAUGUCGGUUUGAUCCAAUGGCUCACGUUCACUUGAGGGGACUAUAAAACCAGACCCCCUGGCCCCUGGAGGAGAGGAGGAGAAGUCAUUAUUCAGAGGUAGCCAUCAAAGUUAGGGUUUAGAGCUUCUCUCCCACAGAGAAUUAGAAUUAGCUACUAUCUAAUCCUUCAAGUUUAGAGGUUUGAUUAGAUAGCAAUUAGAGAAGUAGAGCACUACGCUCUGGAUUCGGAUCUUCGGUAAUAAAGAUUGGUAUUAUUCAUAUCUUUCUCUAAUUCUUUGUUCUAAUUGCAUUAUGUCUCUAAUUAUUAUGUUCUUAGUUUGUUCUAGUUCUAUAUUUGAUAUAGUUCUAAUUGAUAAUGAGUUUAUGUAUAAGUUUGCAACGCGCUUAGCUCUUGACGCGAGGGAGUUAGGUGAUAGAUCACAUGUGAGCGUGGUGCUUAGAUGUUAUUUAUCUGCAAAUGUAUCCUAUUGGCCGGGUCGUGUGGUAGUUCGCGAUAGUGACAGCUUCGUUGAUUCUUAUAUAGUCCACCUCAGCUCUGAUUUACUUUAUCAAUGUUCCUUAUACAUGAAUAAAGAGUCUUUUAUGCUAUAUAUGAUCUUGUAGAUAACUAGAGUAGAUUAUGACUUAGUAGUUAGUAGAUAACUUAGAAUCUAUUCUCUAGCUAAUCCGACAUCACCUACAUAUAUGAGGAGUAGUCUAUUUUCUAAUCGCUGUGUUAUCUACCCAUGAACUUAUACUUUAUUGUCAUUAUCUUUAUGGUUUACCCCCUGCUAAAGUAAGUGACUGUGUGACGAGUUUCUCAUUAGUAAUCAUGUUCUUGCAAGUUUAUCGCUAGUCUAUGCCUUGAUAGAUUUUGCCCCCUUGAUUUAAUUUCAUCUUCUUUAGAUCCCUUGAGCAAAAUUAUAAAUAACGAUACCUGGAAUACUUAUCCUGGUGAAAUGCUACAAUGAGGUGUUUUAUCUGUGCGCUUGCGGAUAGAAUAGAUUAUUUUCUAGAGAGCCCUUUACAUUUAUAAAUACCUUUGUACACUCUGGCACCAUGCUGGGGAUGACAACCUAGUAUCUAAGUGGUGUUAGCUAGUGUCAACAAACAUUUCUGGCGCCGUUGCCGGGGAAUUAUACGAGUCUCAGGAAUAAGUCAUAAAGAGGAACGGUAAGGGAGGCUAGAAAAUCAAUCAAGGUUAUUCACAUAAAAUAUUAGACUAGACUAUAGAGAAAUAAUUGCAUAAAAACAGCUACUAAGUGAGAAAUCAUAACAAGGCACCUCUGCUUUGGCAGUUUCACCCUGUUGUUUUCUAUGUUUAUAUUUUUAUACAGGGUAUAUCAGGAUUGACUUUGGGUACAUUCAACUCUUCAUCAUCAGAACCAAAGCAAUCAAGAGAAGAAGAAGCUAGCUACCAAUUGCUGAAGCUAUGGCACAAAAGACCUUGCAAGAAUUCUCUGCUCCAAGUCUUGAGAACAUUCCAACUGGUCCAAGAUUUGCAGUAGAAGAAGGAAUACCCGAGUUUGAGCUCAGGUCAAGCCUCAUCAAUUUGGUGCAAGCUACACAAUUCAGUGGAAAGGCACAUGAAGAUGCUAGUGCACACUUGCAGAAUUUCUUAGAGAUUGGAAGCACAAUCCACAUCAACGGAGUUGACAAAGACGUCAUACUACUUCGCCUUUUUCCAUUCUCACUAGAAGGGAAAGCGAGGAAGUGGUUCUACACUCAUCAAGAUAACAUCAACAACUGGACGAACUUGUCACAUGCCUUUCUAUCAAAGUUUUUCCCUAUAGGCAAAACAACUGCCUAAAGAGGAAAUAUUGUCAGUUUCCAACAACAGAAGACAGAAGCCAUUUCAGAAGCAUGGGAGCGUUUUCAAGGAUACACAUCAGAUUGUCCUCACCAUGGAAUGGCCACAUGGUUACUUAUGCGGACCUUCUACCAUGGAUUAACCCAGAAGGCUCGUGAGUGCCUAGAUGCAUCUGCUAAAGGAUUAUUCGUGGAGCUUACAACUGGAAAAGCAGAGAUACUUUUGGAUAAGAUAGCAGAAAACCAAAGCUGGUUCCAAGAUAAAGCUCAACACUGUCAUCAAACUGAAGAAAUACCAGAAGAAGUAAAUGCAUUAUCAACAAAGAUGGAAAAUUUGCUCCAUUGGAUUGACCAGAGGGCCAAGUUCAAAGAAGAUCAAAGGGCCAUUGAGGCAGCAUACAAAUAUCAACCAACUUCAAGUCAACCCAAUAGCAAAGGUAUGAAUUCAGGUAAUACUUUUAAGCAACUUUCAUUAAAAGAGAUAAUUGCUCAACAAACCAAAAUUAAUGAUGAAGUUAAACAAAGGCUAGAUACAAAUGAAUCAUCUCUAAAAGAUAUACACAAUAAAAUGGAUUUUCUACUAACUGCCUUUGAUGAGCAAAACACUCUUAAUAAAAGGGUAGAGCUUAAAUUAAUAAAGAUAGCUGCUGCACUGCCUGUUGCUACUAACAUUGAGCAGGUAAAGAAUAUAACUACUAGAGGAGGCAAAGCUACCAGAGAUCCCCCAUACCCAAAAGAGAAACAAAGAACAUCAGCACCAGUGCAACCAGCAGUGAUAGAAGAAGAAAGCCCAGUUGAAGCAGAAGAUCUGCUACAACCACCAAGAACUAGAGAAAUGAGGAAAGAUUUUUACGACACCAACUAUUUGCCAUUUCCCAGAAGAAACAGAGGACUGCAGUCGGAUGAGCAGUUUGGUAAGUUUGUAGAGGUCAUUCAGAAAUUAUAUGUCAACAUACCUCAGCUCGAUGCCAUACAGGUACCUACAUAUGCAAAGUACAUCAGAGAUAUUCUUAACAAGAAGAGACCACUGCCCUCCACUGAGGUUAUCAAGCUGACAGAAGAAUGUAGUGCGGCCAUCCUUAACAAACCACCAAAGAAGAAGGAAGAUCCAGGAUGUGCCACUAUUGAUUGCUCGAUCGGAAACCAACACUUCAACAAUGCACUUUGUGAUCUCGGAGCAAGUGUCAGUGCGAUGCCAGCAUCAGUCUACAAAAAGCUUGAUCAUGCGACCCUAGAACCAACAUCAAUGUGCCUGCAACUAGCGGAUCAAUCGGUUCGACACCCGUUGGGCAUCGCCGAGAACAUUCCAGUCAAUAUCAGAGAUUUCCUGGUGCUAGUAGACUUCGUAGUACUGGACAUGAGUCCUCACUCAAAAGUGUCCAUCAACCUUGGAAGGCCAUUUCUGAGCACUGCCAAUGCCCACAUUGAUGUCAGAAAAGGAGAAAUCAAGUUCAACAUAAACGGUCAAGAAGAACACUUCACAUUCAAACCCAGACCAGAGAGAGACUCUACAGUAAAGGAAGUUCAUGAAGAACCACUGGAGACACCAUCUCCGGAGGAAGGUAACUCAGAAGAUUAAAAGAUUUGGAGGUCCAGCUUGGGGGACCUAAAAAUCCCAAACCCUCACCGGGAGGUAAAUCGGUAUUUAUUCGCAUUAUUAAUUUUCUCAUGUUUAAAUUCUUGCAUAAUUAAUUCUUGCAUUAGCCGUAUAUAUUCAUAGCAUAAUUAUAAUAAUCAAAAAGCCCCAUAUAAAUAAUAUUCGUGGUGUGUAAGAACCCAUAUUUAUUAAUUAUUGUGGAGGCACAAAAAUAUCUUCCAUUAUCAUUUUAAUUAAGUUUCAAUUUUCAUAGAUUUUUCCUGCAUUAUAAUUAAUUAUAUUAACCUUCUAGAAGCAUGACCCACACUUCUUGGGUCCCACAUGUCAUACACUUCACCUCACAUACAUCCCAUCACAUAAUUUCAUCCACCAACAUAUCUUUACUAACAACAUCUUUUCACCGCCCUGUCCCUCUUCCUCCUAUAAAACGCCAACUCCAACUCCCCUUCUCUUCACACAAACACUCCAGAAAACCAUACAAGUUUCAGUUUCCCGAGAAGGAGCUCUUGUAGUGAAGAGAAGAAAGUAGAGAGAAAGAGGAGAGUGGAAGGGAAGGUUGGAGAUCUUUUGAGAGAGUGUUUAUCACCUAGCAAGUAGUGAUCCCGUUGUCCAAGCGGAAGUAAAAGUUGUUUAGGGGGAGGCUCUACCAAAAUAGAAACUUGUCUUGAACGAUUAACCCCUGGACUACUGAUAUUCCGGAUAGCUGACCACUAACAUUUUCUCUCACAAAUUUCCACUAGUUGUGUUUUUUCCAACUUUUGUUUGCAGGAUGUUUAAGAAGGUGAAGAAUGCAGGGAAUGCUCUCAAGAACAUUGGUACAAGGAGUUCAGCCCGACACUCCUCACAGCCAUCAGAGAUGAGCGUCGACCCGACACCCACACAAGCUCCAUCAUCUUCAUCAGGUCAGCAAGUCAAGGUCCUUCUCAAGAUAGGAGACCUUGGACUGAAGACCCGAAGAGAGAAGGAAGUCUAUCAGCAAUUGAGGAACAAAGAUUUCAUUCACACCCCUACUCUCGAUCCAAUCCUACUACAAGAAACAGGUAUGGACACUGAAUUCGACUUGAUUUUCAGAUGAUGGGUUGGACAAAUUUUUGGAAUAUAACUGAGUUGGGUUCUCGUCUUCUCACCCUCGAACUUCUUUGCACUUUACAAUACUAUGAAGGGUGAAUUGUUUUUCGGAUGUUCAAACAGGAAAUUAUGUUAUCUUGGAGAGAGCUGAGCGACCAUCUUGGUUUCUCUUCAAGAUGCAUCCUGAACAUUUACUCCGAUUUACCCAACUUUGAGAGACACCAGUUUUGGAGAGAAAUAUCUAGAGAUAAUUUUUAUAGUCAAGCCCGAACCAGUGACAUGGAACACCCCACAAAUAGGAUGUUCCACAAAUGGCUUGGGUACAAUCUUUUCUAUCGCGAUGAUAUUAGGAAAGUAAGAGUAGGAGAUUUACAACUUUUAUAUGCUGCUAUUAGUAAAGUACCCACUUCACCUGUUACACUAUUAGUUUCACAUUGGCUUAGUAUACCUAGUCUUCAGGGACCAGUAGGAUGUACUUCACUUAUCACUCGUCUAGCCUCUAAUCUUCACUUACUAGAAAAUUCAUCGUUGGACUUUAUAGAAGAAUUAAGAAUUUAUCAUGGCUAUGACACAUUUAGACAAGCUCGGAUGUUAAAGAAAGAGGGGAAUAUAAUGUAUAUGCUAUAUGAUGAUAAAGGCAAGAUUCGGUUACCUAACCCGAACCUUGGCCUCUACGUUGUUCAAAACUUUUUGAUUAAGAUUGCAGCAACACCAGUGAACCAGAGAACUCCACAGCGAGUGGCAUCUGAAAGGAUAACCACUCACCGAGAACGCACCUGGUAUGGAGCUGAUCCCGGACCAGAAGAAGCAGCACACCUGCAUUAUUGCGAUUACAACCCUCGAGUCCUUCGAGACUCAUGGGUUCGUCAUGCGCAACCACAAGAGCCAACAGAGGAGACAUGGCCGGAGAGCCAAGAUCACCAGUGGACAAACCCGCCUUUUCAUACGGGCAGGUACUCCACUGAUCUAUAUGGAGCUUCAGGACCCAGACCUCCGCUCCAAUUUGAUGCAGGACGAUACUCCGACGCCUCCUACGCUUUCACGAAUGACUACUAUCAAGAGGCCGGUGCUUUCUUUACUCGUACCGACAACACCCUCCUCGACAUCCAGAACACGCAAGCAGAACAUGGAAGACUCCUGGAAGAGCAACAAAAAUGGAACCAAGACCAUGCCGCUGCAGUGCAAGAGCUGAGACAAGAUACAACAACAAUGAACGACAACAUCACAACCAUGAUGCGGUUCUGGAACAUCGGGUAAGACCGACAGCAACAUCCAGCUUGGGGGAGUUUCUCGCUAAUUUAUCAAGUAAGUUUUUAUUUGCUCUUCUAAUUUAUUCUAUUCUGUCUUAGUAUUUAAUUUAUCUUAAAAAGGAAAAAACUUAGAAAACCUAAUAAAUAUUUUCUUGCUUUAAUUUACUGCAUUUUAUAAACAUGAAAACAAAAUAAAAAGAGUGUGUAGAUAAGUGUGCUUUAUUUAUCUGCUAAGUCUUAAUCUCUAAAAAAUUAAAAAGACCAAAAAGAUACAUGAUGGAAAUGAUGAACCGUUGCUCUGUUUGCUUACCUACAAGUACCUAGCUUUUAUAUUAGAGUUCUUCCAGAAAUUACUAAAACUGAAACUUACUAUCUUUGGGAAGCAUAAAACUAAAGUCUAGGUAAGAGAAAGGCAUGAUAUAAAGUUGAGCUGCUAUUUAUCUUGUUCCUACUACACUAAGUUCUGGAGAUUUAUUUUGAAAACUUACAAGUCACAUGAUGAGUUCCUAGCAUAACAAACUACCUACCACAACCAUACUUGCUAUAACAUUUUUUUUACUAUAUUUACAUUGAGUUUGAUCGAGCUGUGUAGACCCUGAGGAGCUUUUCAUGUGGUUAAAUUAAGAUAUUCACUUGCACACAUCUACUACACCAUUCAUCAUCAUUCAUUUAAAUUGCUAAAAAUAUUAUCACUCACUGUCCUGAAUAUUGUUAUUCUCUCUCUCUAAAAAGAUUCAAUGCAGAAGAGGCAUGGGUUAUGCAAAAAUAUACGAGGAAAUAAAAAGGGGCAAGUGCCCGAAACCUCGAAAAAGAAAGAAAAAGAGUGAGACGAGAGGUAAAAAUGGACAAGUGUCCGAAGUAGAAUUAGGGGUACAAAGAUGCCCACUUGAGCGGAAAAAAAUGGACAAGUGUCCGACGGUAGAAUUAGGGGUAUCUACUAACCACCUGAAAAAAAAAGAAAGAGAUAGCCCAUGUUCUCCCAAAGCAAAGAUCAAAGGAGAGAUAGCAAUAUGAGGAGCAAUGAGAACCAAGUUUCAUUAUCACUUAUACAUUUUUAUCAUCACUAUCAUUUACUCCAUCACACAUGCACAUCUUGAUUUAAUUAUAUGCUGAGUUCCUUUGGAUCCAUGGCUCGAUUAGACAACAUAUGUAUGAGCUGUUUUCACUCCUAUGAGCUCCACUUAAAUAUUCCAUUAGCUAUAGGUAAGUGAUAUCAUGGUAAGGAUCCACAAAUACCACAUAUAGAGAGACUUGAGAGAAUCAUUGCUGGGAACUCUGAGUUUUAUUUUGAAAACUUAUAAAAAACUCUAGAACAAAAGUGAAGUAUAAACAGGAGGGAUAGUGCUUGAAUUAACUAUUUUAUCUUUCGAUUACUUAAGAUUUAAAUUGAGGUACUAAACUCCAUAACACUUCACUCUAAUCUGGAAGAAUUUUUAUGUAAAAGCAUGUGUGCCUGUCAGGAAAGAAAACAUCGAAGCAACUCUUGAUCUGUCUGAGUUUAGCUAUUUGCUCAAGGACGAGCAAAGGGUAAGCUUGGGGGAGUUUGUUGACGGUCCUUAAGUACUAAAAUUAAUAAUCAAAUAAACAUGGAAAAGGAUUAAUAUGAAACAAACAUCUAGAAUUAGGGUUUUAUCUGACAGAAUUCCACGAGCUUUGGUGUUUAUCUAUUUCUGCAGGGGGUUAUCAGGAAUUAUGGAGAGAAGGCCCACAUGUCAUGUUUACAACGAGAUAAUUAUGUACCGCGCAAUUUUCCUCAAUCUAGAAGGGUCCAGAAGCCACGGGAACGAACGAGAAGGGAAUCAGGCUCGGGGGCAGGGCGCCCGCCCACCCCCCUUGGGCGCCCGCCCUGGCCAGGAGUUGGAUCAGGACUCUGCUUCGGGACUACGCUCCACCGACCUAAAGGAUCAAUCUAAACCAUACAAUCUAUGUCGGUUUGAUCCAAUGGCUCACGUUCACUUGAGGGGACUAUAAAACCAGACCCCCUGGCCCGUGGAGGAGAGGAGGAGAAAUCAUUAUUCAGUGGUAGCCAUCAAAGUUAGGGUUUAGAGCUUCUCUCCCACAGAGAAUUAGAAUUAGCUACUCCCUAAUCCUUCAAGUUUUGAGGUUUGAUUAGAUAGCAAUUAGAGAAGUAGAGCACUACGCUCUGGAUUCGGAUCUUCGGUAAUAAAGAUUGGUAUUAUUCAUAUCUUUCUCUAAUUCUUUGUUCUAAUUGCAUUAUGUCUCUAAUUAUUAUGUUCUUAGUUUGUUCUAGUUCUAUAUUUGAUAUAGUUCUAAUUGAUAAUGAGUUUAUGUAUAAGUUUGCAAAGCGCUUAGCUCUUGACGCGAGGGAGUUAGGUGAUAGAUCACCUGUGAGCGUGGUGCUUAGAUGUUAUUUAUCUGCAAAUGUAUCCUAUUGGCCGGGUCGUGUGGUAGUUCGCGAUAGUGAUAGCUUCAUUGAUUCUUAUAUAGUCCACCCUCCGUUGAUAGGACAGGCAGAACCGAUAUUGUGGAGUAAGUCAUGCGAUGCUCUGAUUUACUUUAUCAAUGUUCCUUAUACAUGAAUAAAAAGUCUUUUAUGCUAUAUAUGAUCUUGUAGAUAACUAGAGUAGAUUAUGACUUAGUAGUUAGUAGAUAACUUAGAAUCCAUUCUCUAGCUAAUCCGACAUCACCUACAUAUAUGAGGAGUAGUCUAUUUUCUAAUCGCUGUGUUAUCUACCCAUGAACUUAUACUUUAUUAUCAUUAUCUUUAUGGUUUACCCCCUGCUAAUGUAAGUGACUGUGUGACGAGUUUCUCAUUAGUAAUCGUGUUCUUGCAAGUUUAUCUCUAGUCUAUGCCUUGAUAGAUUUUGCCCUCUUGAUUUAAUUUCAUCUUCUUUAGAUCCCUUGAGCAAAAUUAUAAAUAACGAUACCUGGAAUACUUAUCCUGGUGAAAUGCUACAAUGAGGUGUUUUAUCUGUGUGCUUGCGGAUAGAAUAGAUUAUUUUCUAGAGAGCCCUUUACAUUUAUAAAUACCUUUGUACACUCUGACACCAUGCUGGGGAUGACAACCUAGUAUCUAAGUGGUGUUAGCUAGUGUCAACAGGUGGUUCAUCAUCACUUAGUUGAUUUUGCAUUCCCUUAUCAGGAGGUUUCUCUACAACCAAAUUAAUAGAUGGGUCAGGUGGAAUUUCUAACUCGGUUGCAAGUUCCUCGUCUUUUGGUUUAGGAUCAGGCUCGACUUCUUUUUCUUGUUCAGGAAACUCAUCAUAAAUGCUUGUGUAAGGGGUAUUUUCAAGGAUUCUCUAUAGGAUAGCUCUCCCCUCAUCUAUGACUUUGUGUGCGAAUGAGCAUCUUGAAGCAAUGUCGAGGUGAAGAGCAGCUUCCUUGUUUAGACCACGAUAAAAGUGGUAGUACAGUACAUGGUCAGGCAGGGAAAGGUUUGGACCAGAAUUUGUAAGGCUUGUGAACCUAGCCCAACCUGCUCCUAAAGUUUCCUUCUCUCUUUGUUGAAUGUAAGAAUUUCAAUUCUAAGGUCAGCGAUUCGAAAAAGUGGGAAGAAAGCGAGACUAAAGUUGUCCCGAAGUUCAUCCCAAUUUCCAUUAACGCCUCCUAUAGAAUGAGCAUACCAUUUUUUUGCCCUUCCCAAAAGGGAGAACGGAAAUAAUUUCCAUAUAAUUUCCAUUUAAGGGUUUCUUGUGUCAUGCCGGAAAUAGAUCGGCAAGAGCACAACUGCUCGAAUUCUCUAAGGUGUGUGUAUGGAUCUUCAUCUACUUGCCCAGAGAAGGGUUGCUCCUUAAUCAUGGCUAUUAGAUCAGGCUUGUCGUAGCCAUCUGUGAGAAUUGGAUGUGAUGAUGGUGGUGGCUCUAAUAACUCGCCCUUUGGAACAAAUAAUUUAUAGAUAGGAGUGAAAUCCAUGUGGUAUGGUGAAAAUAGUAAGGUGAGUGUGGUAAAAAAGGAAAAAAGAUACACGGACGACUUGGUUCGAAACUAGCACAGCUACCGUUCCCCGGCAACGGCGCCAGAAAGCUUGUUGGGUAUUUUAAACGCAAACAGAAAAAUCCGCAAGCGCACGGAUAUCGAUGUAGUUUUCACCCAGGAGUAUUCCAGAGUAUCGAUUUUCGACAGGGAACGUUAGUGUAUUAAUUAAGAUUCAAGAUCUCCCAAGGAUAACUAUAUAAUUAUUUUUGGUGGGUGUUGACGGUCCUUAAGUGCUAAAUUUAACCAUCAACUAAACAUUGAAAAGGAUCAAUAUGCACCAAACAUCUAGAAUCAGGGUUUUAUCUGACAGAAUUCCAUGAGCUUUGGUGUUUGUCUAUUUCUACAGAGGGUUAUCAGAAAAUAUGGGGAGAAGGCCCACAUGUCAUGCUUACAAUGAGAUAAUUACGUGCCGCACAAUUUUCCUUAAUCUAGAAGAGUCCAGAAGCCACGGGAACAAACGGGAGACCGGACGGGCUCGGGGGCAGGACACCCGCCCUCCCCCCUUGGGCGCCCGCCCUGGCCUCGGGGCCAAUCACAACCAACCUCGUGGAUUAUGCUCCACCGACCUAAAGGAUCAAGGAAAAUCGUGCGAUCAGUGUCGGUUUGAUCCGACGGCCCAGAUUCACUUGAGGGGACUAUAUAAGCAAGGCCUCUCCACCCCAGGGGGAGAGAGGAGAAAUCAUUAUCAGAGGAAGCCAUCGAAGUUAGGGUUUUAGAACUUCUCUCCCACAGAGAAUUAGAAUUAGCUACUCCCUAAUCCUUCAAUUUCUAUAGGGUUGAUUAGAUAGAAUUAGAGAACUAGAGCACUACGCUCUGGAUUCGGAUCUUCUUUAUUAAAGAUUGGUAUUAUUUCAUAUCUUUCUCUACUACUUUAUUCUAAUUGCAUUAUGUCUCUAUUUGUUAUGAUCUUAGUUUUCUCUAGUUCUAUAUUUGAUAUAGUUAUGAUUGAUAAUGAGUUUAUGUAUAAGUUUGUAAAGCACUUAGGUCUUGACGCGCGGGAGUUAGGUGGUAGAUCACAUGUGGGCGUGGUGCUUAGAUGUUAUUUACCUGCAAAUGUAUCCUAUUGGCCAGGUCGUGUGGUAGUUCGCGAUAGUGACAGCUUCGUUGAUUCUUAUAUAGUCCACCCUCCGUUGAUAGGACAGGCAUAAUUUGUAUUGCGGAGUAAGUCUUGCGAUGCUCUGAUUUACUUUAGCAAUGUUCUUUAUACAUGAAUGAAGAGUCUUUUAUGUUAUAUAUGAUCUUGUAGAUAACUAGAGUAGAUUGUGAAAUAGUAGAUAGUAGAUAACUUAGAAUCCAUUCUCUAGCUAAUCCGACGUCACCUUACAUAUAUGAGGAGUAGUCUAUUUUCUAAUCGCUGUGUUAUUUACCCAUGAGCUUAUAUUUCAUUAUCAUUAUUAUUAUGGCUUACCCCCUGCCAAAAUAAGUGAUUGUGUGACGAGUUCCUCAUUAGUAAUCUUGUUCUUGCAAGUUUAUCUCUAGUCUAUGCCCUGAUAGAUUUUAUCCUUAUCUUCAUUUCCACUGUCCUCUUAAGCAAAAUUAUAAGUAACGAUACCUGGAAUACUUUCCUGGUGAAAUGCUACAAUGAGUUGUUUUAUCUGUGCGCUUGUGGAUAGAAUAGAUUAUUUUCUAGAGAGCUUUUACAUUCAUAAAUACCUUUGCACACUCUGGCACCAUGCUGGGGAUGACAACCUAGUAUCUAAGUGGUGUUAGUCAGUGUCAACAGUGGGAAGAGAGGAAGUUUCCUAAGAGUUCUCUAGUUGAUCUAAGAAUCAAGAAUUACUUCAAAGAUUAUUUAUUUCGGGACAUCAGAACACUAACCACAGAAAGAGAUGAGAAGGGGGCUAGGAAGCUCUGACUACGGUCCUACAAACACCGAUCCGAACGAGGUGGAAUACGUCGACCGUUAGGGCUGUCACUACCCUAGGGUUACCACAACAAUCCAUAGGAUUGGGUGCAAUUCUAGGUAAUUGCAAGACUAAACACCACGUCUAAUCUAUUAAUUACUACUCUAGCGUUUCAAAGACUAGAGCACUUGAUGCAAGCAGGAAUCCAAUAAAUAACUUGAAUGUAAUUAAAAGUAAUUAAAGAACUCAGGAAUUAUGAAUUGAAGAACUUGGAGAACGAUGAAGAACGAACCAGUUGCUACAAAAGUACAAUAUUGAGGAAGAUCCGAUACAUCCGGCUCCUCCUCCGCUCUCCUAUUCUCUCUCCCUACUUUCUAGAUUACAACUAGAACUAACUAGAACUAGAACUAGAACUAGAUGAACUAGAACUAGAACUAGAUGAACUAGAGGGAUCCUCUCUACUUGGAUGAAUAAUUGAAACCCUAGCUUUGAUUCUGUAGAAGAGGUAUGUCCUCUAGGGGUCAGGGGGCCUGCUUAUAUAGCCCCUCCAAAUGAACGUGGGCCGUCGGAUCAAACCGACCUUAAUCGCACGGUUUUCCUUGAUCCUCAAAGGCGGUGGAGCACGAUCCGCGAGACCUGCCCUGAUUGGUCACCAGGGCAGGGCGGGCACCCAAGGGGGGAGGGCGGGCGCCCUACCCCCGGGCCCGCUCGGCCUCCAGUUCGUUCUCGUGGCUUCGGGAGUCUUCUAGAUGAUAGAAAAUUAGCGCACACAUUAAUAUCUCUAUGUAAACCCAAUGUGUGGGCCUUUCCUCCAUAUUUCUUGAUAACCCCCUGCAGAAAUAGACAAACACCAAAACUCAUAGAAUUCUGUCAGAUGAAACCAUAAUUUUGGAUGUUGGUUGCAUAUAGGUCCUUUUCCAUGAUUAGUUGAUGGUUAAAUGUGAGCUUUAAGGACCGUCAACAAGGUUUGAGCUGGCAGGCGCACGGAGGCGUAGGCCCAAGCGAGCCAGAGGCAUAUGGGGCUAGGGGAUCCAGGCAUCACGAGCCAAGACACUCCUCAGAUUCCGAGGGAAUGCCACCCCCUGUUGGCCCUCAGGUCAGACUGGACGUCCUCAACACUCGCAUGGGAGGACUGGAGCUCCAGAGUAGGCUGAUCCAAGGUACGCUGAAUGCCCACAUCCAGACUACUACCCAAUGGAAUCAGCAGACCCAGCAGAGCUUCAUCGACCUUGAGGAUGCAAGCCGUUGCUGGCACGAGGCACAAAUGGCCUACCUGCGAUCCAUGGGACAUUUUCCUAGACCGCAGCAGUGAGCUAGCUUGGGGGAGGACCCCCACAAGAGGUAACAUGUUUCUUACAUUCUUGCACUUAAUUUUAGUUCUUAAUUUCAGUAUUUAAAUUUCAGUAAUUUUUCAUCAUCUUUCAAAAAAAAUCCACUCUCAUGUGCGCUAUGAUAUGUUAGUAUCUCUUUUGUUGAAAUGAUGAAUAGUUGCUCUGUCUAUAAUCUCUAGUAUCUAAGUUAUAAUUUAGUGUUCAUCAAGAUUUAAAUUUGUUGGCUAAAAAUGUCUCAUUCUGAGAACUUGAAAUCUUGUGGGUUGCAAAUGCAUGAUCCUUUUCUAAGUUGUUGCGAGACAUGAUAUGGUAUAAAUAGAUUUUGCUAUGAUUUUGUUCUAAGAGAAAUUUGACAUCCAGAGUUUUCUUUUCAAAAAUUCAAAAUAAAGAGUUCUUCAAUGAUUAUGAAAUACCUACCAAGGCCAUAUGACUUGCUUAGUAGUUUCUACACCUUUAGUCAUAUGCGGCUUGCGGCACUUUGAGUUGAGUCAAAUCCCAGGUAUCCUAGAGUGAGAUUAUGGUCAUGCACCCAUGAUAUGAGAUUCACACACCCACCAAAUAAAGCCGACUCUCACACUGAGAAGUUGCGCACAACAUGCACCCUUCCAUCCACCAAAAAUAUUCCAACUCUUACCCUGAGAGUUGCGCCUUAGCUUCCACCAAAUAAGUAUGCCAAACUCUCACCCUGAGGUUUGCGCAUCCCCAUACACAAUUUUACUCCUUACAUCAUCAUCAUGACAUCUCUCCAUUUUCCUCUUUGAGAUCCCUUUGAAACAUGUGGGCAUCAGUUAUCCAUGAAAAAAAUGAAGGAAAAGCCAAAGGGCAUGGACAGGAAAAUCAAAAUCCCUGUCAUAAAAAAAUAUAUAUAUGGUCCAUUUUUUAGGGCCCAUAUGUUUACAUUCUCUCAUUCUCAUCCCCAAAUAAAGAGAGUCAUGAUACAAGGAGUAACCAAAAAUAUUUAGAUAGGACUACCACCAAAAAUUCCACACACUUGCACAUCUCAAUCAAGGUGUAUGACUUGUAUCUCCUCAUGGUCCGGGCUUUGACUUGGCAGCACAAGUGUCGUAAGUACGCCCACCUUUAUACCUUCCCAAAGCUCCAUUCUCAACCUUAGUGGUAGGUCUUAAAGGCAAACAGAAAUGCCUUUGGUGAGGAUUUCAUAUACGUUGAGCGAUCGAGAGAAUCAUUUGAGGAACUUAUUUAUUUUGCAAAAAUUUAUAAAACCUCCGGAUUGAUGGUCUAUCAAGGGAUGAAUGAAUGGUGAGUCUGUUACAACCAUUCAAUCUUGCAACCACCAAAGAACUUGGAAAAGCUAUAAGCCCCGUGAGAAGUCAAGGUAAAGAGUGGAUAGCAUGCGAACUUAUUUAAAUUGCGAAUGAAUGCUUUGUUAUAGGUAUGGUACUCUUGAAUUAUAUCGGCAUAGUAACAAUUCCUGAUCAACAACCAUACUUAAUUAUUUGCUCGAGACAAGAAAAGUUUAAGCUUGGGGGACUUGUUGGGAGUCAUUAUAGACCAAUUAUAAACUGCCAACUUGAUCCAAAAGGAGAAGAAGCAAUCAUAUUAUAUACACACAUGCAUUUUAUUACUAACAAGUUCCACUUGUACCAUAGUGAUAAUAUUUUGCAGGAAUUAUAGUGAAACAAGUGGAAAUGUGCCAUACCACAAAGAAAGCGCAAAGUACCAAAACAAGUAUUCAGAAAUGCGCAGACCAAGAAAAUAGAGAAAGGCCCGAACAACGCAGAACUGGGCCUGAUCGUAACCAUAGGAGAGAUCCAGGCCCAGAGCUAAACCGACCACGCGAAGGCGGUGGCCAGGGGGACUCACCCAAGGUGCGGCUGCACCCUGGUGCGGGCGCACCCCUGGAGGCGGCAAACCGGGCCUAUCUUUCUCAAGCGGUUGCAUGCCGCCAUGCAUAGGACGGUUUCACCUACUACCAAAUUUAGAUGCGACGAACCGUCCUAGUUCCACUAUAAAAGGAGAGGCACUCCCCCCAUUUCAACACACACAUCAUUUGGAGUCAAUUUACCUCACACCCCUCACUUGGAUCUUUAGUCUAGAUUAGUAGUAGAGCAAGGCAAGAGCUAGCAAGGAGAGCUUGUCUCCUUGGAAGAAAGGAUCUUCUUGGUAUAAAUAAUAUUCAAUCUUCUUCCAUGAGUGAGUUCUAUUUAUCUUUAUAUGAUUAUGCAUAUGAACUAGAGUAUGAUUGUGUUCUUAUCAUGUUCUUAGUAUAUGAACUAGUUCUUAGUUCUUGUGCUAUGUUCUUGAUAUGUUCAUCAUUGUUCUUCAUUGUUCAUUAGAUUAGUAUGAUCAGGAUUAGAAUUAGGAAUGGGAUGAUGGUUCACCGUGCUGUGAUGGUUGCUCUUAGCCUAGCCUAUCACUCCGAAGGGGUGGGGCCCGUGGGGGUUAGGAGUUGUUUCAAUUACAUGAACAUGGUGUUCAGGUAUGCGGGAAUCAGUGGAUGUGCGGGUAUCUUUCGGGUAGAGGGGUAGGUGGUAGGGUAGUGAUAGCUCUAUCAUCCUUUGCAUUCCCCCAUGAUCAGGUAUUCCGAUAGGAGUUCUGUAAAGUCUCUAUCGGCUGGGUAUCUAGUUGUGGGGAUCUCCCCUCAUCUCAGUCUUAGUUCUAACUCUAUUUGUUGCUAAUUAGAUGAUCUGCUAACAGUUCUAUGCAUAGUUAUAUGUGACCCAUGCCUGCUUAAGUAGAUUUAUUUCUUUAUUCUUUAUUUAUUAUUUCUCUUCUAUUUUAUCCUUAAGGUUGAUCAAAUGUGUGUCCACUAUCUUGAAUAUCAUUUUUAUUCCGGUUUACUCUAUGUCUACCAAGCAUUCAAUAAGUAAUCAUGUUUACACCAUGUUUGAUCCCUUUGCCUUCCUACGGGAAUUAUAAAUUCGACACCCUUAAAUACUCACGGGUUGAAAUGCUACAAUGAUAGUUUUGUCCGCUUGCAGUUAUAUUACUUCUUCAUUCAUGAACUAUCGAUUGGCGUACCUAAGUACCGUUACUUAAGAUUGUAAUCCUUGUGCACUUUCAAGCGUAGUGCCACAGCUUUGCAUCUCGCUAGUAAGGAUGGUUAGGAAGGCCAAUCCGACAUUCCUAAUUAUUGUUACCAUACUGCAUUACUAAGGUCGGCACCCUCGAGUUGGUUUGGGUUAACUCUCUGAUGUAGCGAUAGUUACGGUAUGGCAACACCUAACAUUUCUGGUGCCAUUGCUAAGGAUGGAUCUAUGGUCUAUUUUUAGUAGUGAUGCUAUGAAAUGCCAACACUAGUUAAGCAUGAUGUAUCUUAGGAAGAGCUACUCUUAGCUAAGUGUGAGAAUAGAGGGAAGAGAGUGAGGAGUUCCCCGAGGAGGAGUAUCGGCUUGUCGGGAGUUGUUGACGCCCUUUUUGGACACGUAUCUUUGGACAUGUAUCUAGGAGUUAAUGAAACGUAGAUUGGCAGGCGAAAGAGGUGAUGGGUGUUUAACAGAGGAGUUGUCGAUGGGUUAUGAUGCCGAUGACAAAACAGUAGAAUAUGACUAAGUCCAAGAAUGAUGAUUGGUCCGUGUCGAUGGCCGAUAUUGAUGGUUGCCAAUACCGAUGGAGGGUGAUUCGUCGAUGAUAGUAGAAGGGGGCGUAGGACUUGCCGAGAAUAUGACGACGGUGCUCUGACCGCCUAGGAUGGAUAAAUUAAUGUUUUCCAUAGUUAUUAGAGUUUGUUUUGUAUACAGAUUCCGUUUAGUUUGGAAUUAGAAUCCUAGUCGUGUCUGAUUGUAACUCUUUUAGACAGGGUAUAAAUAUAGACCCAGCAGCAAUGUAUGAAAAAAACACAAUCAAUCAAACACAAGUUUUUACAUCUAUUCCAGCAUCUACUUUUCGAUGACUUCGUCAACUCACAUAUUUUCCUUUUACUUACGAGUUCUUAGGAAUUCAUCGAGACAAACUCGACGAGUUCUCGAGUUCCGUGUGCAUACCUCUUGGCCAUGGCAUCUAGGCGCAUCGCUGUUGUCGAGACCAAAGUAUUCGAGUUAUCACCUUUGUCGAUUGUAAGGUCAAAUCGGCUGGCACGCCUUAACAUUGAAUCGGGUAUUAGCCCUUUGUGUUUGCAGAUCUACUUUUCCAUCAACACAUCUUUUGGCAUGCCCAGUGGGACAGAUUCAAAAUCAUCAUCAAGAUCAACAUGUUGAAUACUGAUUUGGAUACGGAGAACAUCAUUGCCGUAACUGAAGCCAACCUCAGAGAUGAGCAGAAGCAAGCUAUGGCAAAAGCUAUGGAGGAGUACAAGCAGCUAUGUUUGAAGUCCUUAGUCCUUCAGUGUCAACAGGAGCGGCGAGGUGAUCCAAAAGGAAGCAUUGCCGAUGCCUACGCAAAUCACUUUUGAAGCCAAUCCUGGUAAAUUGCAAGAGAUGGUUGACAAUGCUAUCAAUCGUGCUUUGAUUAAUCAAUCCAGUGUGUUGUCCAAUACUGUUUUCAAUGCUGUGGCUACAACUUUCAAAGAGGGACAGGUGCCACCAUCAUACGUGGGCCCUGCUUAUCAUCAGCCAGGAUCAUCAUCGGUCACCGCUCCAUCGGCUCCUCCGGCCGUUGCGGGUACAGAAGUUACCUCUCCUCCAAGUACAUUAGGGAUAACUAAUGGACAAUCUACACCGAUGAGGACUAAUCCAGCAAUAUCAGAGGGGCAAGUUCAACUAGCCACAAAUCUAUUGGCAUCGGCAAUGUCAGGAUCUGUAUUCCAGAGUUGUCAAGUUCUUCCUAAUUGGUGGGGAUAUGGUAUGCCACCAGACUUUGGUGCAAAUAGUUCUGGGACAUCUCAAGUGGCUGACGUGACAGGUAAGGCUCCUAUGACAUCGGCACCUCCAGUGUCACCGAUGACUCAGAAUCCUCAAUAUUCCACAACCACUACUGCGAGGCCUCUUACUGGAAACUUUCAGAUGCCAGCGUUCUAGAUGCCUAACGCAUCGGCGGAUCCACUGCCGACGCACCAGAGGUCUAUGACUCAGACGGGGUAUAUCAACCCAAUGAUGACACCCAACUAUCAACAAUCGGUAGGGGCUACGCCAAUGAAUGUUGAUAAUGGAUGGAUAGGGCAAUUUGUCUUCCCGCAGACAGCUCAGCAAAACCAUCAGGCUACGGGAUUCCAGUAGGGACAGAUUGUUGACGGUCCUUAAGUAUCAAAUUUAAUUAUCAAAUAAAUAAAGAAAAGGAUCCAAAUGAAAUCAAGAUCUAGACUUAGGGUUUUAUCUGACAGAAUUCCACGAGUUUUGGUGUUUGUCUAUUUCUGCAGGGGGUUAUCAGGAAAUAUGGAAGAAAGGCCCACAUGUCAGGAUUACGUAAAGAUAUUAACGUGCUGCGCAAUUAUCUUACAUCUAGAAGACUCCAGAAGCCACGAGACCGAAGCGGAGGCGAAACGGGGCCAGAGGCAGGGCGCCCGCCCUGUCCUACUGGGCGCCCGCCCCCUGCCCAAGUCCAAUCAGGACUCUGCUUUGCGGGAAGUCUCCACCGACCUAAAGGAUGAAUCUAAACCAUACAAUCUAUGUCGGUUUGAUCCAAGGGCCCAUAUUCACUUGAAGGGACUAUAAAACCAGACCCCCUGGCCCCUGGAGGAGAGAGCCUCUCAACCCUAAUUCAUUGUUCCAUCAAGGGAGAAGAAGCCCCUGAUCAUGAUUAGAGCCACCACAUCAAUUAGAUAUCUAGAUUAGCAUAGCUACAUAGGAUUAGAACUAGAAGGAGUCAAUCUUCGAUUGGUUUCCGGAUCUGUCAGGAGGAUUCUUGGUAAUUCUCUAAUUGUGCUUCUAAUUGCUUUCUAAUUAUCUUUGUUCUUCAAUAUUAUGAAUAUGACUUUGUUCUACUUCAAUAUAUUGCUUAUGACUUCGCUCUACUUGCUUAUAUUCAAGAUUAUAUUGUUCUUAGUUUAUCAUAGUUAUGUACUUGGCUUAGUUAGAUACGAUCUAUAUACAUGCUUAGGAUCGUAUAGCGUUUAUCCAUCGGAUCCAUGGGUAAAUGAUAGAUAUUGUAUAGGCGUGGUGCUUAUACCGUAUUUAUCUGCGAUUGUACCCAAUAUGCCAGAUCGUGGGGUAGUUCGUGAUAGUGACAGCUUCAUUGAUUCUUAUAUAGUCCCCCUCUCGUGUAUUGGGCUGGCAGAGCAACAUUAUUAUAGGGGAGUGAUUGCUAUGUUUCUCAUAUUCCUUGCUAAUAUCACUAUGCAUGGGCGUAGUCUUGUCUCACAAUGAUUGCUAAGUAUGCUUGCACUAACUAUGAUAUGCUAGACUAUAUAGUUAAGAAUAAAUUAGGGAAUAUUCUUGUAGUUCGUUCUAAUACCAUGCUAAUGACUUUCUAGAGUAUCUAAUUGAGGUGCUUAUCAUAUUUAUUAUGUGGCUAGAUCAGAUUAGUUAUCCUUGUCACUAUUAUUAUUUCAUAUAUCUUUUAUGUGACACUUAUCCCUGUAUGAAGAGUUAGAUAUAAUGUUCUCAAUUAUACAUGCAAUGAUAGAUGCUCAAUCUCAUAUUCUAUUCUGUAAUCAUUAGUGAUGAUUUCUAAUCCCUUCCCAGUGGUAAAAAUAUAAAUAACGAUACCUGGAAUACUUCCCGGUUAAAAUGCUACAUCGGUAUUAAUCUGUGCGCUUGCAGAUCCCAUUCAUUAUUUAUUUAGAAGAGCAAUUGCAUAUUUCAAUACCGUGUCUCUUAUAUCAUGCUGGGGAUGACAACUUGGCUUAAGUGGUGUAAGGGAUAGGUUUGGCAUUUUUGGCACCGUUGCUAGAUUUAGAGAACUUAGUCUACUUUUAGUAAUGAUGUUAAGAAUACCCAACAAGCAUUUUUGGCGCCGUUGCCGGGGAAGGUUGAUUACCAAUCAGGAAUAGAAUAAAAGAUUUUGAGUUGUCAUUCGCAUCACUAAUAUGAUUGAGCUUAUCUAUUCUCUCAUACAGUUUUACCCCGAUAUUUUUCUAUUUUAUCUUAUGCAGGGGAAUGUAUGAAUAGAAGACAUCUUCCAGGGAAUUUUGUUGACGAUCCUGAAGCACUAUUCAAGAAGACGAGAGCCAAGCUAAAGAAAUCAUCAACACUUCACGAAGAAGCUUCAUCCAAUCAAGAAGAUCACCGGAACUUGUCUUUAGAGUUCGAAGCCAUGGCGAACAAAUCAAUCCGCGAGUUCUCAGCUCCCACUACGGACAACAUCCACACUGGACCUGCUGCAGAGAUCGAUGGCAACUUUGAGCUCAAGCCUAGACUUAUCAACAUGGUGCAAUCCAACCAGUUCUGUGGGAAGGCACACGAAGAUGCUAGUGCUCAUUUACAACACUUCCUGGAGAUUUGCAACACAUUCACCAUAGCAGGAGUUUCCAAAGACGCUAUACUACUUCGCCUCUUCCCAUUCUCACUGUUAGGAAGAGCGAAGCAGUGGUUCUACGCUACAAAGGAGAAGAAUACUACGUGGGCACUCUGCUCAACAAACUUCCUGGCUAAGUUCUUUCCCAUGGGCAAGACCAAUGCUCUCCGUGGGAAGAUUACAAGUUUUCAGCAACAAAAUGAUGAAUCUGUUCCAGAAGCAUGGGAGCGCUUUCAAGACUACAUCCUAGAAUGUCCCCAUCAUGGAAUGGAGAGUUGGCUAUUGAUGCAGACGUUUUAUCUUGGGCUCAGCAACAGUGCCCGAGAGACCAUGGAUGCUGCAGCUGGAGGAGCAUUCUUAUCACUUACUAUACCACAAGCCACAGCUCUUAUGGAGAAGAUGGCGUCCAAUCAAAGCUAGAAUGAAGAGAGGACCCAGACACGCAAGAGAGGUGGAGGUAUGCAUCAGCUGAAGGAGGUAGACAUGCUGUCUGCAAAGCUAGACCUGCUCAUGAAGAAGCUCGAUGAUAGAGCUGGAGACAAGAAAGAAGUUAUGCACAUUUACGACUCUCACAUGACUUGUGAGGAGUGUGGAGACACUGGACACUCAGGCAACCACUGCCCUGAGAUACUUGAGGAUGUGAACUACAUCAUCAACAACAACAACAACAACUACAACCGUCCUCAACAAAAUCAAGGUUGGAAUCAACAGAGGCCUAACUACUCAGGUAAUUAUCAAGGUAACAAUUCUUACAACAAUAAUAAUUUUCCACCUUUGAGAGAGUUAGUGUCUAAUCAAGGAAAGCUAAUGGAUAACCUAUCUAAGAAAUUGGCAUCUAAUGAUAAAAUACUAGAAAAUAUAAAUAGUAGAAUGGAUAAUUUCUCUACUGCCAUCAAGAAUCAAAUUAGCUUCAAUAAAAUGAUUGAAUCUCAGUUAAAUCAAAUAGCUGCUGCUGUUCCUACUACUAACCCCGGUAUACCAUCACAACCGGAAGGAUUAGAAUCUGCAAAUCUUGUAGACAUGUUUGAUGCAGGUAAUUGGAGUAAGCCCGUCACUGAAUUCUCUACUGACCUUCUGCCGGUCAAGAGAGGCGAUCCAGGACGCCCCAUCAUCCCGAUUUCCAUCGGCAUGGUGGACGUUCCAGAAGCACUCUGUGACUUUGGCUCUAGUGUCAACAUUAUACCCAGGGUACUCUAUAAAAAAUUCUUUACAUAUCCUUUAUUAGAGACAACCAUGUGUUUGCAGUUUGCAGAUCAGACGAUAACUUUUCCAAAAGGAAUAGUGAGGAACCUUUGUGUCCGAGUUGGUACCUUGUAUGCACCAGCAGACUUCGUAGUGGUAGAGACCGGAAAUGAUGAGAGAGCACCUAUCAUCUUAGGGAGGCCAUUCUUGAACACCACGGGAGCUAUCAUCUACGCCAGUGCUGCUAAGAUCAGUUUCUACAUCAAAGGGAAGAAGGAGACAUUUUUCUUCAAGAACAAGACUACACAAAUUCCAAAUCAAUCCAGACGUGAAUCAAGGAAGAGGACCAACAGGAGGAACAGGAACAAGCAAGUGUGGACCGAGUCAGCUAAGAUGGUCACUGUAGUCCAUGGAGGCCAAGAUCACCAACUGAAGUCACCGUUUUUGACCAAGAAGGACGACCCAGGAAUGCCAAGCAUUUACUGCUCCAUAAAUGGAUAUAACUUCCACAAGACGAUUUGCGACACCGGAUCAGGCGUCAACAUAAUGGCCGCAGUCACCUAUCGGCUCUUGUUCGGGACCAUGCCACUAAGACCAACAUACAUUCAGCUCCAGAUGGCAGAUCAGACAUUUCGAGAAGUUAAAGGAAUAGUAUCUGAUGUCCCAGUCAAAAUAGACGAUCACUUUGUCUACACAGACUUUCAAGUUGUUGACAUGGGAGAAGACGAGUAUGAUCCACCCAUCAUCCUUGGAAGGCCGUUCCUCAGCACCGUUAAAGCAAUUAUCUACAUUGGAACCGGAGAAGUCCAUAUGCACUUCCCCUCAGAGAAGGUACGCCGUUAUUUUACUGACCCUGACUAUAUCGUUGAAGAAUCUAAGCAGGUCAGAAAGAGACGCAACCGCAACCAGAGAAGGCAGAUCAUCAAGGACGGAUGGGCAGACUAUGAAGGAGAAGUUGUAAGGUCAGAAGACGUAGAGUUUAAACAGAAUUAUCCAGAGGAGAUUGAAGCACCGAGUCAGGUAUGGAAAAUGAAGAUAACUAUACAAGAAGAGGAGGCGCUGCCGGAAAUGCCGACUACGCCACCCAACGAACCUCAGGACGAUUAAGAAAUUGGAGAGUCCCGUUCGGAGGACUUAAAAACACCGAACGCCUUGCCAAGAGGUAAACUUGGUAGUUAUCCUUUCUUUCAGUUACUUCAAAUAGUUUAUUUAGUUAAACAUGUUCAUGCUAUCCUAAAAAGAAAAUAAAAAUAUGAAAAACAGUAAGCCCCAUGUGAGUAUACGAGUGGCAUAAAACCCAUACAUACAUUAAGUGUGGUGGCAUAAAAAUAAAAUAAAUAUUUUUCUGCUUUAUAAAAUAAAAAUAUAAAAACAGGGAGUAAUAAUUAUUAAGGAGUCUCAAGAUGAUGAAGGCUAUAUAUUUAUGCUAACACUUAAUCAGUUCCACAAGCUUUGUUGUCUAUUUGAGCUCCACAGAAUUUAAGAAGACUAGCAGAAGGAGGACAUUCUAAUCGCUGUCAGAAUGCUGCUGACUUUCAAAUACAUCUUUGCCGCCUGCUAGCUACAUCAAGAGAAAUUACGUCAAAAUUCAGCUUGGGGGAGAGCACCCCCAUUUAUGCUUAUAUAUAUAUGUCUUUUGCUUAGUGUGUUUAAUAAAUAAAUAAAGUGGCUAUGCUAAUCUGUAUCUAAAUAAAACUUAAGCAUGGAUAUGAUGAAAAGUUGCUCUGCCUAAUUUGCAAAUUUUAAGUUCUCUCUCAAGUUUAGAUAUAACUGUUAUAAUUUAAAGCUUGCUCUAGACCUAAACUUGUGGGAUGAAAACUUGAUCUGAAGUCUAAGUUGUUAACGGAUACGAUAUGGGAAGGUUGAGCUGCUGUUUAUCUGUUCCUAGAGAUGCUAGAAUUCUGGAGAAUUUUAUCUUUGAAAAUCUUUAAAAUGUUGCAUGAUGAGUUCCUAUAUGAUGAGAGCUUAAAAUUCCUACCACAGCCAUAUAUACAUGCUUGCUAGACUUUGAGCCACACAUUUGUUAUUUACUGCUUAUGAGCAUUGAGUGUGGUCAAGCUGUGUAGACCCUUAGGAGCUUGUCAUGUGGUUAAAUCAAGAUUUCACUUGCACGUUCACUCAUAUAUGCUACUUCUACUCCGGAAGUACCAUCCACAUAUAUCCACCCAUUCCAUCUCCAGAACCACCUAAAAAUAUUCUACUCCUAAUCCGGGAGAGAAUAACCAAAAAUAUUUUCUGUUUUCCCUUGUGAAAUAAAUGCUCAAGUUAUCUUGUUACUACCACUUGCUAUAUUAUCUCAAGAGAUGAAUGCUCUAAAAAAAAGAGAAAAUAAUACGAGGAAAUAAAAAGGAGCAAGUGCUCGGAACCUCGAAAGAAAAGAAAAAGUGAGACGAGAGGUAAAAAUGGACAAGUGUCCGACAGUAGAAUUAGGGGUGCAAGAUACCCACCUGAGAGAAAAGAAAAAGAAGAGCAUCUCAUUCUCCUCAUAAAGUUUCAAAAGCAAGGAAGGUAUGUAUCCCCUCAAAAGAGCAAAGUAGAAUUAGACUUCCACCACCAUUGUUUUCACCAUUGUUAUCACCAUCAUCACCAUAUACCAUUCAUUCGCCACACAUGCACAUCUUGAUUAAACUUAUUGACUUGUUACUUUGGAUCCAUGGUUUGACUAUGCAAUAAAUGUCUUGUAAGUAUGUAUAUUUUAUCUCCCACCUAUGAGCUCCAGAUAUUAAAGCCUUAUUAGAGUAGGAUGAGAGAGAAGGUAAUGUCACUAUGCCUCAUACCACAAAUACCACAUAUCUUGAGAGAAGGCACAUACCAUCAAUGCCUUGGUAAGGAUCCAAAAAUACCACAAAAGAGAGACCUGAGAGAAUCAUACAAGGAAUCUCUGAGUUUUAUUUGAAAAUCUGCAAAAAUCCCAGAGCUAUAGCUGAUCAAGAAUAAGAGACAUGGCACUUGGCUAGACUGUUCUAUCUUUUAACCACUCAAGACAGAAGUGACAGUUACAAGUCCCAUGGUGGAGGUAAAGUAAGUAAGUUUUAAGUCUUGACAGUUUACUCUAACUCAGAGAUGAGAUCUUAUUUAAAAGCAUGUGUACCAUCAAAUUUUUAAAUAUAUUGCAACAACUUAUGAUCCAUAGCUAAGUCUAUCCUUGCUCAGGGACGAGCAAGAGGUAAGCUUGGGGGAGUUUGUUGACGGUCCUUAAGUAUCAAAUUUAAUUAUCAAAUAAAUAAAGAAAAGGAUCCAAAUGAAAUCAAGAUCUAGACUUAGGGUUUUAUCUGACAGAAUUCCACGAGUUUUGGUGUUUGUCUAUUUCUGCAGGGGGUUAUCAGGAAAUAUGGAAGAAAGGCCCACAUGUCAGGAUUACGUAAAGAUAUUAACGUGUUGCGCAAUUAUCUUACAUCUAGAAGACUCCAGAAGCCACGAGCCCGAAGCGGAGGCGAAACGGGGCCAGAGGCAGGGCGCCCGCUCUGUCCUACUGGGCGCCCGCCCCCUGUCCAAGUCCAAUCAGGACUCUGCUUUGCGGAAAGUCUCCACCGACCUAAAGGAUGAAUCUAAACCAUACAAUCUAUGUCGGUUUGAUCCAAGGGCCCAUAUUCACUUGAAGGGACUAUAAAACCAGACCCCCUGGCCCCUGGAGGAGAGAGCCUCUCAACCCUAAUUCAUUGUUCCAUCAAGGGAGAAGAAGCCCCUGAUCAAGAUUAGAGCCACCACAUCAAUUAGAUAUCUAGAUUAGCAUAGCUACAUAGGAUUAGAACUAGAAGGAGUCAAUCUUCGAUUGGUUUCCGGAUCUGUCAGGAGGAUUCUUGGUAAUUCUCUAAUUGUGCUUCUAAUUGCUUUCUAAUUAUCUUUGUUCUUCAAUAUUAUGAAUAUGACUUUGUUCUACUUCAAUAUAUUGCUUAUGACUUUGCUCUACUUGCUUAUAUUCAAGAUUAUAUUGUCCUUAGUUUAUCAUAGUUAUGUACUUGGCUUAGUUAGAUACGAUCUAUAUACAUGCUUAGGAUCGUAUAGCGUUUAUCCAUCGGAUCCAUGGGUAAAUGAUAGAUAUUGUGUAGGCGUGGUGCUUAUACCGUAUUUAUCUACGAUUGUACCCAAUAUGCCAGAUCGUGGGGUAGUUCGUGAUAGUGACAGCUUCAUUGAUUCUUAUAUAGUCCCCCUCUCGUGUAUUGGGCUGGCAGAGCAACAUUAUUAUAGGGGAGUGAUUGCUAUGUUUCUCAUAUUCCUUGCUAAUAUCACUAUGCAUGGGCGUAGUCUUGUCUCACAAUGAUUGCUAAGUAUGCUUGCACUAACUAUGAUAUGCUAGACUAUAUAGUUAAGAAUAACUUAGGGAAUAUUCUUGUAGUUCGUUCUAAUACCAUGCUAAUGACUUUCUAGAGUAUCUAAUUGAGAUGCUUAUCAUAUUUAUUAUGUGGCUAGAUCAGAUUAGUUAUCCUUGUCACGAUUAUUAUUUCAUAUAUCUUUUAUAUGACACUUAUCCCUGUAUGAAGAGUUAGAUAUAAUGUUCUCAAUUAUACAUGCAAUGAUAGAUGCUCAAUCUCAUAUUCUAUUCUGUAAUCAUUAGUGAUGAUUUCUAAUCCCUUCCCAGUGGUAAAAAUAUAAAUAACGAUACCUGGAAUACUUCCCGGUUAAAAUGCUACAUCGGUAUUAAUCUGUGCGCUUGCAGAUCCCAUUCAUUAUUUAUUUAGAAGAGCAAUUGCAUAUUUCAAUACCGCGUCUCUUAUAUUAUGCUGGGGAUGACAACUUGGCUUAAGUGGUGUAAGGGAUAGGUUUGGCAUUUUUGGCACCGUUUCUGGAUUUAGAGAACUUAGUCUACUUUUAGUAAUGAUGUUAAGAAUACCCUACACAGAUGCAGCCUGGAUUUCAGAAUCAAGGGCUAGUUAAUCAGCCGAUGAAUCUUGCUCAGCAGUUUGGUGGCCAAUAGGUUCUGGCUAAUGCUAUGCUCCCUGGAGAUCGUGUACCUCAAAGACACGUGGAAGCUCAUCAGCAGAUGCCAGAUCCACAACCCGCACAUCGGCAAGAUGUCGAUGCCUAUUGGGCCGAUAAGAUAGCCAAAGUUAUGAGAGAUCAAUUCGGGAUAAAGCCGAAGGUCAAUACUUACUCUUAUCGGACACCAUAUCCUCCUGCAUACGAUUUGAUUCCACUACCAAAUUGGUACAAGGUGCCAGAUUUCACUAAAUUCUCGGGACAAGAUGAUACAUCAACUAUGGAGCAUAUCGAUCGGUUCAUCAUUCAUUGUGGAGAAGCUGCUAACAGAGACGAAUUGAGAGUUCGAUUGUUUUCAUCAUCUCUAUCAGGAUCGGCAUUUACCUGGUUUAUUUCGUUACCUCCGAAUUCGGUAAUCACUUGGGCCGAUCUAGAGAAGUAGUUCCACAAGUAUUUUUUUUCUAGAGUUCAUGAGAAGAAACUUACCGAUUUAGUAAGGCUGAGGCAAUGCGAUGAUGAAUCGGUUGAAAGUUUUGUGCAAAGGUUGCGGAUGUUAAGAAUAAAUGCUAUAGUUUGGUUCUAGAUGAUCGGCAGCUAGCCGACUUAGCUUUCCAAGGAUUGUUGCCACAUAUCAAGGACAAAUAUGCUUCCCAAGAGUUUGAAAGUCUAAGUCACUUAGUGCAGAGGAUUUAUGAUCAAGAUAUCAAGGCUUUUGAGCCUAGGAAAGCUUCGAUCAAAAAGGUGUCAUUUGUCGAUGAGGUGACAAGUUCAGAUUCUGAUGAAGAACCAGUCAUCGGCUUGGUGAAAUGGGUGAAAAAUAAAAAGCCGAUGUUUGUCCUUUUCGCCAUAAAGAGCUAGAGAAGUUCGCUUUUGACAUCACUAAAGCCGCUAGGAUAUUAGACUUCCUAUUCCAACAAGGGCAAAUUAAGUUGUAAACCAACCAUGUGAUUCCAUCGGCAGAAGAAUUGAAGAAGAUCAAGUAUUGCAAGUGGCAUAAUGCGACAUCUCACAGCGCAAAUGAGUGCAAGGUGUUCAGACAGCAGCUGCAAUCAGCUAUAGAAUCCGGGAGGAUUAAAUUCGAUAACUCCAAAGCUCAAAAGCCGAUAAAGUUUGAUCAGCAUCCUUUCCCCACAAACAUGUUGGAUGCCAAUGGAAAAACCAAAGUCUUGACAUCGGAAGCAGCUGAGAGAAGCGCAUCGAUAGACCCCCAGUAUCAGAUCACUGCCGAUGAUGCUAAAGGUAAAGGGUUAAUCCAGGAAGGCACCAGUUCUGGAAGACCUCCUCGGUCCGGCAUUGUGAUCACUCAUAGACAGCAUCGGGAAACGUGGCAACAGCGUGAGGAUCGUUAUCACAGUCAACAAGAGGAUCGUCGCCGAGAAGAAGAAAGACGCCGACAGGUGUGGAAUCGGCAUAAAGACAAUUGGAAUUGCCCGUUCUUCAUCCACUACUGGGAGCAAAACAUCAAGUUACCGACUGUUAGAGACUGCCCUAAGUGUAAUGAUUAUAAUCGGUAUGAUAGACCAAAUCGGCGAUAUCAGGACGAUGAUCGGAGCGAGGAUGUCAGUUCAUGAUCGGCUAGGGGGCAAGCUCAGUGUGCAUGACAGGAUUGGUGAACAUGUUGGCUAUUUUCCAAGAAACCAAGAGGAGCUUGAGGAGAUGGCAAAUGCACGAGUUCCCGAUGAGUUUAUAUUUUGCAGAGAUGCUAACACUUAUCGAAUGGAAUCAAGGGUGAUUCAUAAUCAACCAGUGAGGCAACCACAACUUCCCCAGUGGUGUCCAGAGGGAUUGACAAGAACACAUAAGAGGAGGAUGCAGCGAGAGCGGCAGGAAGAACUAAGCAGGGAAGAAAAUUUUGCUAAGACUGGAGAUCAGCAGCAAUCAGACCACAAGGGAAAGGAACCAUCGACAGACAUUAACAUGGUUUUUAUGUUACCGAUGGAAUUUCUUGCACCUUUCAGUGACAAUGAGGACAUAGAUUUCCCUGAUCAGAUAGCUCAGUUGGCUCUUGACCCAAUGACAACUAUCUUUGAAAAGCCCGCUGACGAUGAAAGACAACAUCUUAAAGCUUUAUUUGUCAAAGGUAGGGUUGAUGGGCAGCCGAUAACCAAGAUACUCAUUGAUGGUGGAGCUGUUAUCAACAUUAUGCCAUAUGCAGUCUAUCGGAAACUUGGCAAAGGGGAUCAGGAUUUGACCAAGAUCGAUAUGAUGUUGAAAGAUUUUGAAGGGAAUGUGUCUCCGGUCAAGGGAGCUAUAUGCAUUGAGUUGACCAUCGGUAUCAAAACUUUGCCGACGACUUUCUUUGUCAUCAGUGGAAAGGGUGCAUAUAAUUUGUUGUUGGGGAGAGAUUGGAUUCAUGCCAAUUGUUGCAUUCCAUCUACUAUGCACCAGUGUCUGGUUCAGUGGGUAGUGUUGGGUAUUCUUAACAUCAUUACCAAAAGUAGACUAAGUUCUCUAAAUCUAGUAACGGUGCCAAAAAUGCCAAACCUAUCCCUCAUACCACUUAAGCCAAGUUGUCAUCUCCAGCAUGACAUGAGAGACGCGGUAUUGAAAUAUGCAAUUGCUCUUCUAAAUAAAUAAUGAAUGGGAUCUGCAAGCGCACAGAUUAGUACCGAUGCAGCAUUUUAACCGGGAAGUAUUCCAGGUAUCGUUAUUUAUAUUUUUACCACUAGGAAGGGAUUAGCAAUCAUCACUAUUGAUUACAAAAAAGAAUAUGAGAUUGAGUAUCUAUCAUUGCAUGUAUAAUUGAGAACAUUUAUCUAACUCUUUCAUACAGGGAUAAAUGUCACAUAAAAGAUAUAUGAAAUAAUGAAUAGUGACAAAGAUAAUUAAUCUGAUCAGCCACAUAUAAAUAUGAUAAGCACCUCAAUUAGAUACUCUAGAAAGUCAUUAGCAUGGUAUUAGAACGAACUACAAGAAUAUUCCCUAAGUUAUUCUCAACUAUAUAGUCUAGCAUUAUCAUAAUUAGUGCAAGCAUACUUAGCAAUCAUUGUGAGACAAGACUACACCCAUGCAUAGUGAUAUUAGCAAGGUAAAUGAGAAACAUAGCAAUCACUCCCCUGUAAUAAUAUUGCUCUGCCAGCCCAAUACACGAGAGAGGGACUAUAUAAGAAUCAAUGAAGCUGUCACUAUCAUGAACUACCCCACGAUCUGGCAUAUUGGGUACAAUCGCAGAUAAAUACGGUAUAAGCACCACGCCUACACAAUAUCUAUCAUUUACCCAUGGAUCCGAUGGAUAAACGCUAUACGAUCCUAAGCAUGUAUAUAGAUCCAAUCUAACUAAGCCAAGUACAUAACUAUGAUAAACUAAGAACAAUAUAACCUUGAAUAUAAACAAGUAGAGCAAAGUCAUAAGCAAUAUAUUGAAGUAGAACAAAGUCAUAUUCAUAAUAUUGAAGAACAAAGAUAAUUAGAAAGCAAUUAGAAGCACAAUUAGAGAAUUACCAAGAAUCCUCUUGACAGAUCCAGAAACCAAUCGAAGAUUGACUCCUUCUAGUUCUAAUCCUAUGUAGCUAUACUAAUCUAGAUGUCUAAUUGAUGUGGUGGCUCUAAUCUUGAUCAGAGGCUUCUUCUCCCUUGAAGAACAAUGAAUUAGGGUUGAGAGGCUCUCUCCUCCAGGGGCCAGGCGGUCUGGUUUUAUAGUCCCUUCAAGUGAAUAUGGGCCGUUGGAUCAAACCGACAUUGAUUGAAUGGUUAUCCUUGAUCCUUUAGGUCGGUGGAGAUCUCCCACGAAGCAGAGUCCUGAUUGGAGAUCUCCCGGGGCAGGAGGGUGGGCGCCCUGCCUCUGGCCCCGUUUCGCCUCCGCUUCGGUCUCGUGGCUUCUGGAGUCUUCUAGAUGUAAGAUAACUGCGCGGCACGUUAAUAUCUCUAUGUAAUCCUGACGUGUGGGCCUUUCUUCCGUAUUUCCUGAUAAACCCCUGCAGAAAUAGACAAACACCAAAACUCGUGGAAUUCUGUCAGAUAAAACCCUAAGUCUAAAUGUUGAUUUCAUUUGGAUCCGUUUCUUUAUUUAUUUGAUAAUUAAAUUUGAUAAUUAAGGACCGUCAACAAACUCCCCAAAGCUUACCUCUUGCUCGUCCCUGAGCAAGGAUAGACUCAGCUAUGGAUCAUAAGUUGUUGCAAUAUCUUUAAAAAAUUGGCGGUACACAUGCUUUUAAAUAAGAUCUUAUCUCUGAGUUAGAGUAAACUGUCAAGACUUAAAACUUACUUACUUUACCUUCACCAUGGGACUUGUAAGUGUCACUUCUGUCUUGAGUGAUUAAAAGAUAGAACAGUCUAGUCAAGUGCCAUGUCUCUUAUUCUUGAUCAGCUAUAGCUCUGGUGUUUUUGUAGAUUUUCAAAUAAAACUCAGAAAUUCCUUGUAUGAUUCUCUCAGAUCUCUCUUUUGUGGUAUUUCUGGAUCCUUACCAAGGCAGUGAUAGUAUAUGCCUUCUCUCAAGAUAUGUAGUAUUUGUAGUAUAAAGCAUAGUGACAUUGCCUUCUCUCUCACCCUACUCUAAUAAGGCUUUUAUAUCUGGAGCUCAUAGGUGGGAGAUAAAAUAUACAUACUUACAAGACAUUUAUUGCAUAGUCAAACCAUGGAUCCAAAGAAACAAAUCAAUAAGUCGAAUCAAGAUGUGCAUGUGUGGCGAAUGAAUGGUAUAUGGUGAUGAUGGUGAUAACAAUGGUGGAAGUCUAAUUCUACUUUUGCUCUUUGAGGGGAUACAUACCUUCCUUGCUUUUUGAAACUUUAUGAGGAGAAUGAGAUGCUCUUCUUUUUCUUUUCUCUCAGGUGGGUAUCUUGUACCCCUAAUUCUACUGUCGGACACUUGUCCAUUUUUACCUCUCGUCUCACUUUUUCUUUUCUUUUGAGGGUCCGGGCACUUGCACCUUUUUAUUUCCUCGUAUUUCUCUUUCUUUUUUUUAGAGCACUCAUCUCUUGAGAUAAUAUAGAAAGUGGUAGUAACAAGAUAACUUGAGCAUUUAUUUCACACGGAAAAACAGAAAUAUUUUUUGGUUAUUCUCUCCUGGAUUAGGAGUAGAACAUUUUUAGGUGAUUCUCGAGAUGGAAAUGGAUGGACAUAUGUGGAUGGUACUUCCGGAAUAGAAGUAGCAUAUAUGAGUGAACGUGCAACUGAAUCUUGAUUUAACCACAUGACAAGCUCCUAAGGGUCUACACAGCUUGACCACACUCAAUACUCAUAAGCAGUAAAUAGUAAAUGUGUGGCUCAAUGUCUAGCAAGCAUGUAUAUAUGGCUGUGGUAGGAAUUUAAACUCUCAUCAUACAGGAACUCAUCAUGCAAUAUUUUAAAGAUUUUCAAAGAUAAAAUUCUCCAGAAUUCUAACAUCUCUAGGAACAGAUAAACAGCAGCUCAACCUUUCCAUAUCGUAUCCGUUAACAACUUAGACUUU